rnacentral:lncRNA from 1 species
UUUUUUUUUUUGCGUUGUUGAUUGAUUUGCGGCUCAUAAGCAUCCCAUUCCAUCAGUGAAAUUUCUUAAAAUUGCCUGCGUAGUCAACAGCUCACAAGCAUGGCCACGACCGUUCCUGCCCGUUGGCCCACCCUGGGUCCAUCUGAGGACCACAUGUAAGCGAAAGAAGCUCCUCUUUCCGGUUUGCCUGUCUUUGAGGCAGGCAUGCAUGCACGGGGUCUGCCUGACUGUCUGCGCUGCCAGUGGUGGCUUUGGUUCUCUCCCUCCUCUCCGCUGUCUCUGCCUGGCCCGCCCCGCCUCCGCCUGGGCGCCUGCUGCCGGCAGCGGCUUUAAUCGUUCGUGUCUCAAGAAACGGGAAAGUGUCGCGAAUCCAGAGAGAUAGUCAAAGAUCUCGCCUGUUGCUUUCCUUUGAAUUUCGGCAGCUCGGUCUCUGCGGCAGCCAGCACCCAGCAGCCAAACGGUGUUUGAAUUGACACCUUGGGCUUGCGCCGCCGUCCUCAGGUCUCUCGUCCAGGUGACACUAGGGACGGCGAAGAACAGGGCUUGGUCGUCUCGCUCUUGAACCUUGAUGACCUCCUCCAAUCCUGUGCCUGAUGCCAGUCUUGAUGUAACGGUAAUAGUAAUCAAGUGACAUGUCAACUUCCACGCAGCUGAACAGCACAAAAACAUUUUAUUCAGUUCAGACGGCACGAUGACUUUGCAAGCUUAGGCCAAAAACCAAUAGUUGGAGCAUGUCCUUUCGUAAAGGGGAUAGUUUAAGCAUGGAGAGGAAUACUUGGGUUUUCCUGUCACAUUCGUCUUCAGUCCUCAGAUCGAUGUGCGGAUGACGGCUCCUAAACUUGUACCAUUAUCGUAGGAGCGUGUGACUUUUCCAGCAACGAACAUGAUCUGUUUGUUCGAGCUGCAACUUUUAAGCUUUUCAAAAGAGAAGGCUACAUCACACUUGAGUAUUUUGAGGAGCUCCUGCACUUGAUUUUUCAGCCAAUCGAUGAACGCCACGGCUCUGCUUCUCUCCCCCUCCGGCAAUUGUGCCGACGAGACAUUAGUGUUGGGUUUCGGGAUUUGGGUUUAAGGGUCGGGGGUUCGGGUUAGCUGUGGCAUCCGAACCUAGAAGGAUGCUUGGGGAGGCUUGCCGGCUGGCGGUGGUGGCGGUCGAGACGGUGGGGGAGCGAAGGCGGAGGCGUCGAGCUUCAAUCUUUCGGUCAGUAGCGGUCGGGGACGGUGAAGGAAGCGGCGUUGCACCCCUGGAGCCGGGCGGGCGGUCAGCGGCGAGGGGAACUCGGAUGAACAUGAUGAAGAUGACAUCGGGAGGAGAAACACCGGAGAAGUUUUUUUGGCCACGGUGGAGGGUGGCGGCGAGGGUACCACCGGAGCCGGAAAGGGAGGCGGGGCGGCGGGGGCUCGCAUCGCUCAGGCCUCGGGAAGAAACUCGUCAAACCUCCCGUGAACAGAUAAGGCAAGUUAAUGUCUGGCCUCCCGUAAAAAGAUAAGGCGCAAGAGAGGGAGAAACGGCAAAAAAAAUCAAGUGUCGUGACCCCUUGAAACACUCGAGUUAGACGUAGACAGCCCUUUCAAAAAACUGUUUACUGAUUUUUUGAUUCUGAAAAGCCAACACUAGUUUUUAGAAAAUGUGUUUAGCUUUCUGAGCUUAAAAAGUUAUAAAAAACUCAUAAAACUAAGUUUUGCAGUUUUUCAUAUAAACUUAGUUUUUCUGGACUUCUAGAUAAGAAAUUCAUUGUUUGUUUGAGCAUUUUUUUUUGACGAUCAAUGGGGGGGAAGCACCCCACCUGAUUCAUUAAAGUUUUUCAUCGGCCUUUUGGAGGCCAAACAUCAUACAUGUGAGGUUCAGCAUAAAACGAGGGGGGGGGGAGGAGCAGUAAAGCAAAGCACAUUACAGGGGCAUGUUACAUUGAGCUAAAAACAGAACACCAGGCAUCUGCUGUCGCUCGGUCGCUGGGCUUGAAGCGCUCCCUCCAUAGACGGGCUUCCUCGCGGCAGGCCAUCCAGAAACGUUGCUGCGAGGCAGGAGCUCGCUGGAAGAUGACAUCAUUUUGGUGUUUCCACAGGCUCCAGCAUAGAAGAAUCAGAAAGGUGGAGUAGUGUUUUGUCAGCGCUAUUGCCGGACGGGGUACAGUCCAUAAGCUUUUAACGGAGGAGGCGCUAGUAUUCAUCCCCAAGGAGCUCCAGAUGUUUGCCGCGAAGGAACACUGGAAGAUGAUAUGGUCGCAGGUUUCCUCCAGGCCGCAUAGCUCGCAUGAUGCUUCCGUCAGAAUCUUCUUUUUCUGCAGAUUGGCGUGACAGUGAAUUCGUUCCUGCACUAACAGCCAAACGAAGAACUGUACCCUCGGCGGAGCUCGGUUCACCCAGACGAACUUGACGAAUGGCGGGGCAGGUGAUCCAGCAGUUUGCACUAGCUUGCCAUAGACAUCUCGCGCCCGGAGGUACGAAGUGUCUCUGGCCAGGGGGGAUGACCGGAGGUCUGCUCCUUCCCGGAGCACAACCUGUUCCAACAGUGGCUCCAAUUCAGAGAGCUCCUCAACGGCCCGACAGGACAAGCGCGGGGCGAGGUGUAUCUGCAAGCCGUCAGCCAGCACUUGUUUGACAGAGAGCUGGGUGUUGGUGGCGUGGGAAAGGAGGAGGGGGAACAGGUCACACGGCCGUCCACCGGGCAGCCAGCGAUCGAGCUAGAAACUUGUGGACGCUCCGUCUGAGACUACAGAGCAGGUGAGAGCCCGGUAGAUCGGUAGUAAGGCAUCCAAAUCACGCCAGUGUGAUCCCAGGACAUCCCCUUGCAGAUUGCUGAUAUUCACAUGCUCACGCACCCAUAGAGCCCAGGAGGAGCCGGCAGGGUGAUGCAACCUGUGAAUAUGUUUGAGUAGAGGCUCCUGUUUUGUAGGGGGAGAUUUUUGAGACCGAGUCCCCCUUGCUCCUUCGGUUGACAUGCUGUUUCCCAGGCGACAAGGCACUGGGCACUGCUGACCUUGAUGGACAUGGUGAUGACUCAUGGUUAUAAGCGGUGGCUAAUUCGUUGCCAGAUUUUUUUAAAAAAAACAAAUACGUUAUACAAAUGAAUGGAGUGCUAGCCAGUGAACAUGUUUAGGCUCCAGUCCUCGGAAAGUUACCUGCAAAUAUAUUGCAACAAUGCUGGACGCCGUCGUGAACCGGCGCCCAUAGAGGCGCACGCGGUGAAGCGCGCAUGAGACGGCACAGCUGCAUCCUGCAACACAAAGCAUAUCUGCAUACGCUAUGUGCGAGUUGUCACUUGUCACACUGUGUGCACAUAAAUUUAACGGCAGCAUUUCCGGAGCGAAAAUGGUUGCAACUGAAUAAUCCUGUCUGAUCCAAAUAAAUGGUCGAAAUCGAAGCUAAUCGUGGUCGGUUAUGAACACGGGAAACAUUCACGAGUUCCUGACUGCCCGGCAAAUUAAACUAGGAGUUCGAGUAUAUAUAUGCACGCUGUCACGAAAGACGAAACUGACUAGGAGCAGUAGCUGAUCUUAUUACAAGGAUACCACUUGCAACACCACUACCGUAACAGUACGUUACAAACCUAACGCUAAGGAAGCUCCUGCCACGCGCGUCGCACGUGCCUACCUCCUGCGCACCGCCAGCGUGCCAGCAACGUGUCAUCAGUUCAUCCUGUUCAUUAAAAAAAACGUGUCAUCAGUUCAUGCGUCAACCACGUACCGGACGAGGGCGUCCAGGAACGCGCGAAGCGCGCCGAGCACGCCCGCGGCCGGACCCGAGCGGCGGUAGUGAAGCGGCGGGUUCCCCGGCGACGGCGGUGCGAGCUACUGCCUGUUGGAAUAUACUCCGAAUUUUUAAAGGUUUCUGUAUACACCAACCAUUAGACAUCUAAUUUGGGAUGCAUUUUGUGGUAGCAUGCUUGCAUGCAUGUUUAUAUGUUGCAUGCAUGAGUUUUUUCAGCCAUUUAUUGUUUGAAUUGACUACAUGCUCCGGCCUAUAUAAACCAAUUGAAUGUCAUACGAUAGAGGGUAACACAAUUAGCAGAGUCAUUCUGCGUUUCUAUUCCUCUUGUAAUCCGUUUGGGUUGAGUUAACCACUCAUUAUAAAUCCCUAACAUUUGUAGACCUCCAGAUAUAUUCAACAGUGAAGAUCAUUUUUGUGUAUCCGUGUCUUGCUUCCAAAGGAGUUUCCACAUAAAUUUGUGUCUCUUGUUGUUGUAAUCAUACUUGUUUCGCCAGUUAAUUUCUAACAAGUGGUAUUAGAGCUAAGUUCAUUGCUAGGUUUCUUCAACAUGGCAUCCUUGAAGUAUGAUCUUCCAUUUUUGGAUCGAGACACCAGUUUUUCUCUAUGGCAAGUUAAGAUGCAAACGAUUCUAGCGCAUACUGAUCUAGAUGAUGCGCUGGAGCAUUUUGGUGGGAAGAAUGCCACUGAUUGGUCUGACGAGGAAAAGAGAAAAGAUCGUAAGGCCUUGUCUCAAAUUCACGUGCAUUUGUCAAAUAGUAUUUUGCAGGAAGUGUUAAAGGAGACGACGACUACUGCACUUUGGUUAAAGUUGGAGCAACUAUACAUGACAAAGGAUCCCAUUAGUAAGAUGCACCUUAAGCAAAAGUUAUUUUUGCAUAAGUUGCAAGAUGGAGGAAAGGUGUUGGAUCAUCUUUCUGAAUUUAAAGAGAUCGUUGUUGAUCUUGAGUCAAUAGAGGUAAAGUACGAUGAAGAGGAUUUGGAUCUAAUCCUUUUGUGUUCCCUGCCUAGUUCAUAUUCGAACUUUAGAGAUCCAAUAUUAUAUAGUCGUGAUACUCUCACUUUUAAUGAAGUUUAUGGAGCCUUGCAAGCUAAAGAAAAGAUGAAACAAAUGGUAUCUGCUUAAAGUUCAAAAUCACAAGCAGACGGCUUGUUUGUUCGUGGUAGGAUUAUGGAGAGAAGAUCCUCUAGUGGAUCUAGAGGUAACAGUUCAAAUGGCUAUAGGGGUCAUUCACAGUUUAGAGGCAAAGGCAAAAAGUUCUGCAAUUACUGCAAGAAAACCACUCAUUAUAUAUCUGAGUAUUAUAAAUUGAAAAUUAAGGAAAUGCAAAAUGGCACAUUUAAGCCUAAAGGUAAAACUGGAGAUGAAGGUAAUGCUUCAGUUGCUGUUAAAAGUGGCAAUGAAGGUGAUGUGCUUGUUGCUUUUGCUGGAUAUGCAAAGAUUAAUGAUGAAUUGUAACACCCAUAAAAUUUACCAACCAAAAUCACUCGCUAAAAAUCUUUUUCAAAAUCUUUCACCGUUUGAGCUCUCAAAAAUCCCAUCUUCUCGGCGAUUCCGCCAUCCCGGCACCAAAGCUGACCACCCUCCAUUUUCUCCUUUUUCCCUCUCCGCGCGUCACACCGCGUGCCUGACGGAAGACCGCCGUGCAUGCCCGUGACCGUUCCCGCAAUCACCGUCGUCUCUCUCUUUUCCUUCUUGUUUUCCUUCCCUUUUUUCCCUUCCUUUUUCUCCUUUUCUUUUACCUCCUCUCUUCCUUUCUCGUUUUCCUUUCUUCUUCCCUAGCCGCACACCACACACCAGAGCCUCUCCUGCCGCAUGCCGGCCCCACCUAGGCCCGCGCACGCCACCACCUGUGCAUGGCGCCUGCUCCUUGGGCCCACCAGCGCGCGCCCACCCCACCGCUAGCGUGCCCCUGCCCGCCCCCCCCUCGCGCCACCGCACCCCCACGCGCCCUUGCACCCGCUCCCACGGCCUGGUGCCUGGACCCACGCUGCUCCCUCCCUAGCUCCGCUCCACGCCAGCGCCUCGCCUUGGCCCCGCUCGCCUUUGGCCAUGCGCCGCGUAGCGCCGCUGCCCCGUGCCCACCCGCCAACACCACCGCGCCGCAUGAUGCCACGCCCGUCCCGCCCAGUGACGCCGCGCCCCGGCCCGCCCUUCAGUGCCUGCACUUGCCUCCCGCGCAACGCCGCACCCCCUGGACACCGCGCGCCCGCCCAACGCGUGCACCGCCGCGCCGUACUACGCCGCUCGCCGCCCGACACCGCCCCUCUAGCCGCGGUCACUGCGCCCUCCGCCAUGCCGCACCGACACCGCACCACGACAGCACCCUGACCAUGCCAUCCACGCGCAUCACCGCUCGAUCACGCUACCGCGUCCUUGUUCGCCUCGCCGUGCAAGACCGGCCCCACCACGCCGCGCACAUGGAGCUCCACCUCGCCACGCCACCGUCCUGUGCGCCUCCUGUGCCCGAGCAUCCCGGCCGCCAUUAACUUCACCGUUCCUGUGCGCUGCCCAUCGGCAGCCCCCUACUCAUCGCCUCCAGCCUAUAAAAGGGCCUCCGCUCCGCUCUCCACUCCACCACCGAGCUUCCUAGACAACUCCCCCUCACUCCCGAGCUUCCAAUGCGCUCCCGCCGUCUCCCGCUCGCCGCCGCGGAGCCGCCUCCUUGAGCCAUCCCAGCCCGAGGUAAGGAGAGGAAUGGAACCCCCUCGGCCUCCUCUCCAUUUUGCCCCUCUUCCCAGCCGUUGUCGUGCCCCAACGCGACCUCUUCCCAACCAUGCCGCCCCUUUAGUUUCUUCCCGUGCGUGAUUUUGUCUGGAGGAGGAAGAAAGGGCAGUUCUGCAUUUUCACCCAUCCGUUUAUUCCUUUUUGCAUCCAGACCCUCCCACCUCCCUCUUUCUCUUUUUCAUCAGAGACCCUCCCACCUCCAAAAAUAAUUACAGAAAAGUUCCUGACUCCUUACAAAUAAGCCCCUGAUCCUCUCAUUAGCCCCUAAAAUCACCUUUACCUCAUCAUUUUAUGCGCCAAAUUCUCUCUAAUGGACCCCAAAUUCAACCACAUCAUUGUCAAAUAUAUUUCUGCGGAGUCAUCUACAAAAUCCCUAAAAAUACUCCUCAUUUCCUAUUUUUAGAAUACUCCCUCCCUUCGAGCUCAACAGGUAAAACUUUAUUUUCUUUUAUUUAUUGUGUGCUUGCUUGUGUGUGCCGUAGAUCAUGCAGUGACCGCGGAGGAGCCCGAAGAGUAGCUUGAAGCCCAGUACCGUGAGCCGGAGCUCGAAGACCAGUACUGCGAGCAAGAACUCCCAUCCGACUUUGAGGACGACAAGUCCAAUCUCACCUUUUGAUGCAUAUUUAUCCUAAUUUUUCAAACAUAAUCUAUUAGCCUGUUUUAUAAAAUUGCAUAUUGUUUUAUUGCUGAAACAUGGUUGGAUAGCCACCCCUUGAUUGUUAUGAUUAUUCCUUGAUGUCCUAUAAUUAUCUCUAAAUAUGAUAUGCUUUUUUUCGAUGAUGAUUAUUGCUAGAAUGCUUAGAACCUUGUUACUCAUUUUAUUUCACUUCAAUCAUGAUUACAUUGUGUUUUAUCAAAGAAUAGAUGUGUGAGUGUUUUAAAAGAGAAAAAUAGGCUUUCGGGAAAUAAAGGAAAGAAAAUGCUUAGAUGAGAUGGAUGGGUGUUUCUUGUGUGAAAUACCAAGUUGGGCUCGUACCUUUGUGGUUGAGAAGGUUGGGAGAUAUCCAUCUUGUCAUGGUUAAUGACCAAGUUGAUGUGUCAUCUUGCCUAACCCAAUUUAUCGUGCAACCACUCGACUGUUGCAUGCGGCAACGGCUUAGCAUAAAUCCCACUAGUUAGUCUGUUAGUCAGCAGGAGAGCUAGUGAGCAACGGGAGACCACGGAGGAGGAGUAAGAUCUUUGUGACUUAGAUCCCAGUUAAGGUCUUGUUGGUAGGCCAUUAACCCCUGUCUGUUAGUCUUAGCUAAGGUGGGUAAUGGCUUUGAUAAGAUCUGCACUGACACCAAGGUGAUCGUGCUACGGUACCCUACUUGUGGGUAAAGUGUACACCUCUACAGAGUUAAAAUCUAUUCAAAUAGCCAUGUCCACGGUAUUCGACAAGUUACGGCUCUGCCACAUAACUAGUGCUUGGAGAUGGAUGGUUUUCAUGGCGUGUGUUGGAUUUUGGAAGUGUCCGGCAGUUGUGCCGUAAGCUACUGUGGAUGGGGAGUCUGGUAGCAUUAAAACUUGGAUCCUUUGUGUAGGAUCAACCCCACCUAAUGAUUCGGUUACUAAAGAAAUGCUUUGCAAAAAAACUCUUUUGAAAAUGAACCCUUGGAUAUGUUGAAAAUAUAGCAUUAUUGCAAAUAAACCUUAGCCUUAUCAGUGAUAUAUCCUGUGCAUAUUCUUGAUUGUAUCCCCCUCCGUGGAUGGGGUUGGACUUGUUGAGUACUUUUGUACUCACCCUUGUUUUGUUGCUUCAGAGGAAGACCCGAACUUCGUCAUCGAGGAUUUUGAGUAGGAGGUCGCUUCCGCACCUAACACUGUCUGUGGUGUUGACCUUUUCAGAAUGCUUUCGCUGUCGUGUAGUCCUGAGUGUUAUCUCUUGACAGUGGCUUGGCUAGCUAUUGUUGUUUAUUUACUUAUUAUUUCGACAUGGCUUUCGCGCCCACUGCCUUAGGAGUUGUACGGUUUAUGAACCAUCUGUUGAAUAAAUGUGUUAUCAGCCUCCUGGAACUGAUAUUUGUAUCAUAUUUAGUCUCUGCUUAUGUGAGGACGCUUCAUGAAUGGAUUCUGGAUUCUGCUUGCACUUUUUAUAUAUGCAUUCAUAAAGAAUGGUUUAGCACUUAUGAGUUAGUGCAAGAUGGUGGUUCUGUGUUCAUGGGUGAUAACACACCACGUAAGAUUGUAGGCAUUGGAUCCAUUCGAACUAAGAUGUUUGAUGGUAUUAUCAAGACCUUAACUGAUGUGAAGUACAUUCCAACUAUGAUGAGAAAUCUCAUCUCGUUGAGUACUUUAGAUUUGAAAGGAUAUAAAUACUCUGCUGAAGGUGGGAGUUAUGAAGAUAUCCAAAGGUUCUCUUGUUGUCAUGAAAGGUGAUUUGAAAUCUGCCAAUUUGUAUCUCUUGUGAGGUACUACAAUUAUAUGUAAUGCCGCUGUAAUUUCAAAGGCAUUAUCAAAUUUUGAUGCUACAAAGCUUUGGCAUAUGCGUCUUGGCCAUAUGAGUGAACUUGGUUUGGCAGAGUUAAGCAAGAGAGGAUUUCUUGAUGGACAUAACAUCAAUAAGCUGCAGUUUUGUGAGCAUUGUGUGUUUGGCAAAUACAGGAGGGUGAAGUUCAAUACCUCAACACAUACAACUCAAGGUAUUCUAGACUAUGUCCAUUAUGAUUUAUGGGGGGCAUCUUAUAAGACAUCACUAGGUGGUACUCGUUAUAUGUUGACAAUUAUUGAUGAUUAUUCUAGAAAAUUUUGGCCUUAUUUCUUGAAGCAUAAAUCAGAAGUAUUUUUAGCCUUUAAAGAGCGGAAGGUAAUGGUUGAAAGGCAAACCGAAAAGAAGGUAAAGAAGCUUCACACUGAUAAUGGGAUGGAAUUAUGUUCUCACGAAUUCAUAUCAUAUUGCAAGUCAGAAGGCAUUGUUAGAGACUACACCAUUCUUUACACACCCCAGUAAAAUGGUGUAGUUGAGCGUAUGAACAGAACAAUCAUCUCGAAGGCACGUUGCAUGUUGUCUAAUGCAGGAUUGCAUAGACAUUUUUGACAGAAGCUGCUUCCACCACUUGCUAUCUUAUUAAUCUAUCAGCCUCCAUUCCGAUUAAUAAGAAAACUCCAAUAAAGAUUUGGUCUGGAUGCCCAACAAACUAUUCAGAAUUGAGAGUUUUCCGAUAAUGGAAAAAUUGGAGCCUAGAGCUGUUAAGUGUAUCUUUGUAGGAUAUAAAUCUGGAGUCAAAGGAUAUAAAUUGUGGAAUCCAGAAACUAGAAAGGUUUUGAUCAUUAUAAAUGUUAUCUUUAAUAAAUCUGCUAUGCUACAUGACAGUCCUAUUGAUGUUCCUGUUGAGAAUCAACAGAAGUCAAGUGUGCAUGUGGAGCAUUUUGUUGAUGCACCAUGAAAAGUAAUUGAUAGUGUUCCAGUUGAACCUAUUGUUGAGGAUUCCUCUACUAUCGAGGAUGUUCCCAUUGUUUCACCAUAGCCACCACCGCGACAGCGUUUCAUUGCCGUUGAUAGGCCUAGGAUGCAAAUUAUAGAACCAAAGAGAUUGAUUAAUGAAACCAAUAUUGCCGCUUAUGCUUUGAGUGUGGCAGAAGAAAUUGAAGGUAAUACAGAACCUUCAACUUACUCUGAGGUUAUUAAUUCAACCAACUGCAACAAUUGGGUGACUGCCAUGCAUGAUGAAAUGGAGUCACUUGAAAAGAAUGGCACUUGGGACUUGGUAAAAUUACUAAAAGAAAAGAAGCCUAUCCGCUGCAACUGAAUUUACAAAAGGAAAGAAGGCAUUUCUCCAAGUGACAAAGUGAGAUACAAGGCGAGGUUGGUUGCUAAAAGUUAUAGCUAAAUUCCAAGAAUUGAUUACAAUGAUGUAUUUUCCCCUGUUGUUAAGCAUAGUUCUAUUCGAACAUUGCUCAGUAUUGUUGCCAUGCAUGACUAUGAGCUUGAGCAGUUGGAUGUUAAAACUGCAUUCUUACAUGGGGAAUUGGAAGAAGACAUCUAUAUGGAUCAACCAGAAGGUUUUGUUAUUCAUGGAAAAGAGGGCCUUGUUUGCAGGUUAAAGAAAUCUCUUUAUGGUUUAAAACAGACUCCUAGAUAGUGGUAUAAAAGAUUCGACUCAUUCAUGAUCUCUCACAGCUUUAAGAGAUUUUUUAUGAUAGUUGCGUUUAUUUAAAAACUAUCAAAGGCCCAACCAUUUAUUUGCUUUUGUAUGUCGGUGACAUGAUGAUUGCUGCAAAAGAUAAAGAGGAAAUAGCAAAACUAAAAGCACAAUUGAGUAGUGAGUUUGAGAUGAAGGACUUAGGUGUAGUAAACAAAAUUCUAGGUAUGGAAAUUAUUAGAGAAAGACAUGCUGGAAAAUCAUACAUUAGUCAACAAGGGUGUAUUAAAAAGGUUCUUCGUUGUUUUAGCAUGCAUGAAGCUAAGCCAGUGAGUACACCAUUAGCUGUACAUUUUAGAUGAAGAUGUCAAGUACAUGUCUAAAGUUCCAAUUCAAGCGCAGUUGGUUAUCUUAUGUAUGCCAUGGUCUGUUCGCGUCCUGAUUUAUCUCAUGCAUUGAGUGUUGUCAGUAGAUACAUGGCUAAUUCAGGUAAAGAACAUUGGAAAGCGGUCCAAUGGAUUUUCAUAUAUCUGCGAGGAACUUCAAAUGCAUAUUUACAAUUUGGAAAGUUUAAAAUUGGACUUGUUGGUUAUGUGGACUCUAAUUAUGCUGGUGAUUUAGAUAAAAGAAGAUCACUCACAUGUUACGUAUUCACCAUUGAUGGAUGCCCUGUUAGUUGAAAAGCAAGUUUGCAUGCAAAGAAUCUGUUUGGUUGAGAGGUUUAUAUAAUGAACUAUGUAGCGAUAGUUCUUGUAUCACUAUAUUUUGUGAUAGUCAUAGUGCUAUAUACCUUACAAAAUAUCAAAUGUUACAUGAGAGAACAAAGUAUAUUGAUGUUAGAUAUCACUGUAUUCGAGGAGUUAUUGCUCAAGGUGAUAUCAAGUAUGCAAGAUUAGUACUCAUGACAAUCCCACAGACAUGAUGACAAAGUUAGUUCCUGCUAUUAAGAUGCUCAAGUUUGCAAGAUUAGUACUUAUGACAAUCCCACAGACAUGAUGACAAAGUCAAUUCCUACUAUUAAGAUGCUCAAGUUUGCAAGAUUAGUACUCAUGACAAUCCCACAGACAUGAUGACAAAGUCAGUUUCUGCUACUAAGUUGUUUAAACUUGAUUGGUGUUACCGUCUAUAAUCCAUGAAUUUUUGGUGUAUGGUUAUCGUUGUCGUUAAAGGCAUUAUAUUAAUGUUACUUCACUCAAUUGCAGAAGGAAAUUCAUCUCAAGGUGGAGUUUGUUGGAAUAUGCUCCGAAUUGCUAAAGCCUUCUACAUGCACCAACCGUUGGACAUCUAACUUAGCUUGUGCUAAAUUAGGGAGGUAUUUUGUGGUAGCAUGCUUGCAUGCAUGAGCUUUUUCAGCCAUUCGUUAUUUGGAUUGUCUGCAUGCUCCGGCCUAUAUAAACCAGUUGAAUGUCGUACGAUAGAGAGUAACACAAUUAGCAGAGUCAUUCCACAUUUCUAAUCCUAUUGUAAGUUAUCCACUCAUUGUAGAUUCCUAGCAUUUGUAGACCUCCAGAUAUAUUGAAUAAUGAAGAUCACUUUUGUGUAUCUAUGUCUUGCUUCCAAAGGAAUUUCCACGUAAAUUUGUGUCUCAGCCUGCUGGACACGUAGCAAGGCCUAGGGGACGAGCGGAGGCCGUGCGACGGUGAUGUUGUCGGUGUUUUAGACCGGCAACCUACCUAGGGGGUACCCUAGGUGGUCUUUUGUGCGGUGGGUGUCGUCGAGAAUCAAGGAGUCAAUGGUGAUGCAAGGAACACGAUUUAGAUAGGUUCGGACCACUAGAUCAUGUAAUACCCUACGUCCUAUGUGUAGAUUGUAUUGAGUUGUACUUCGUUGUUUGGAGGGGGUCCCUGCCCGUCCUUAUAUACUCGGGGGAGCAGGAUUACAUGGUGGAGUCCUAGUCGAACACGAUUACAGAGUCCUACUCCUACUCGGCAGAGUAAUCCCCUUCCUAUCCGACUAGUAGUCGAGGAAAAACCAUGAAGCCUACACGCCCUAUAGAGUAGUCUUCAUGUCCGAGUAGGUUUCGGGUACGUCCCCUUUGAGAGGAUCUGUAAAGUCUUCUGGUGGGCCGAGGGGUGCCUAGCCGACAAGCCCCCGAGUACUUUGUAGUCGAGAGAAACAGCUCCGAGUACUUGAGGAUGCCGUCCGAGUUCCUCUUGGUGCUCCUUGAGUGCUCCUCGAUGCGACGAACCCUCGAGUACUGGUGUUGUCGCAUGACUGAAAGGUACUCUUAGCAGUCCCUGAUGUUUGCUUCGAGUAAUCUUUGCUUUAAGACUAUAUGGUAGUGCGAUGACAAUCGGACUCCAUAUGGAGUAGCCCCUGAGCCUUAGGUUGAAUUGAAGAAUCGGGCUGAGGGUUAGACUUGUAAUUUGGCUUCAACUUGAUCUUUCAGAAAAAAGAAAACUUUAUCCAAUGGGUACGGUGUACGUAGCUCCCGAUCACUUGGGCAACUACUUGUAGUCGAUGAAGGGGUCAAUCGUCUAGUCGGGGUAACCGUUGGAUAUUGUUGUGGUAAAUCUGAGUCGUAUCUGACCGUUGCUUAAUUACCGGGAGGAAAUCCGAAGAUAUUGCUGAUAUAAUAGGGGGGUCAGCGCUAAUUACUGAUACGUUUGUUUAAGCACAUCUCUAGCUCCACUGCUCCUGCUUGCUCCGUCGCCGCCCUUGUUGCCCUUCCUAAUCGUUAGGAGAGGGAUUUGCUGCGGCCUCUUCCUCCCCCCCCUUUUCUUCGAGAUCUGUUGAUGCGUGUGAAGAAGAUGGGCAAAAAGCCUGAGAAGAUCCAAGGGGAGCCCGUGGCUACUAGCAAGUUAAGAUCCAGAUCCAAGAAAUGUCAGGAGCCUGAGUUGCCGGCACCCAAAUGUGGGCCGACAAAUCAGACUGCGCCGCCACCGCCUGGGAUUACCUGGCAGCAUUAUGUGAUGAUGGCACCAGCGGUACAGGCUUUGGUUGACGCGAAGCUUCUUCAACCAAGGCUUGUACUUGAGUGGAGGCCCGCAUACGGGAAUGCAUGGCAAUUUGAAGAGCACCCUAAAGAGGCAGUGAUCCUUGCUCAUUUUGUUGAGAAAGGACUGGCGGUGCCUACUUCUGACUUCUUCAGAGGUAUCCUCGAGUACUAUAAUCUUCAGUUAGUCCACUUGAAUUCGAAUGGCGUGCUGCACAUGUCUAUCUUUGUACACUUGUGCGAGGUGUACUUAGGUGUUUUGCCUAGUCUGGAUUUGUUUAGGAAGCUAUUUCGCUGUAAACUGCAACCCAGCACGACUAGGACAGAAGUCUUUGGGGGGCCGGUUUUCAAUUGAGGAACUCGAGUGCAUAUCUCGAGUAUGACUUGCCAGAUUCCCACGGUGAUUGAAAGAAGAGGUGGUUUUACAUUAGCAAUCAUGAUCCUGUCUUGCCUGUAGUCACUGGCCAUGCUCCCAAACAUACUGAUAACUGGGUGACUGAACCUGAGGAUACUCCUGAGAUCACGAAUUUGCUGACGCAGAUUUUUGAGUUAAGAUCUUUGGGCUUGACUGGGAUUAAUGUGGCCGCCAGUUUCCUUAAGCGCAGAGUCCAGCCUCUGCAGCGGUGUGCUCACUCAGGCUCCGAGUAUACGGGUUUUAAUGACCCGUCGCGUAUGGCUCUUGAGGACAUAUCUGAUGGUGAUAUGGAGGCAUUGCUGGGUAAGUUGUUCAGAAACUAUCAAGGAGUACCAAUACUCCUAGGAGUCCUCCGUCAGUUUGAUAGUUGGUAUUCACCAGCAGAGGUACUUUUGCUUCUCUUUGCACAUUUUGAGUAGUCGAAGAUAUAGUACUGCCUUCUGACUAAUGGUGUUGUCUUUGUGGAUUGUAGUCUCGGGUGUUGUUUGGUUUCCUACCCCCGACUGCCGGGGGUAAGGAGGCGGCCAUAGUUGCUGCUAACGAUUCUCCUUCUGCUCCUCCGGCUAAGAAACGCCGAGCAGUGCGGAAGAAACCCACUACUCACCAGGUUGUAACUUCUUCGGGCUUGACCCCUGAGGGGUCACAGGGUACCAAGGUGCGUAGUUGCACGUUGCAAUCAAGUACUCUUGAGUUUCUUGUUAACAGUCGUAUUACUUUGCAGAAUACUGAUGAUAUUAGUCUCUGUGUUGAAAAGGCCCGGACUUAACUUUUGGUGACGAUAAGGCUACUUCUGAUGAAGUAGUCGCGAUUGCUAAAGACGCAGUUGUCAAUGUCACGGCUGUUGAAGAGCUGCCUGUGGGGGUGCCAUUUUUGAACUCGAAAACAACAGCCUCCGAGCAGGUAGCGUCGGCGUCGGCAGCCCCCAAGUCAGUAGCCCCCGUUCCGGCAGUGUCUGUGCCGGCAGCCCUCGAGCAGGUUACUGAGUCAUCAGUUGAUAAGGUUACGUCUUCUAAGCUGGCAAAUGUCGUGAAGACACCGGUGGUGGCUGUUGGUGCCUUGUUGUCUGAUGUUAUCGCCAGUGGUGAGUACUCGAUCCAUUCUGGUAGUCAUGCGUACAUAGUCUCAACCUUGGUUCUUUCAGGACUCGGCGAAGGAGUGGAGGUCGUUCCUCCCAUGGCUCCUGUAGUGCCGAGUAUCCAACCGGCGGUAGUCGAGAAAAAACAUGUUCGAUUGCCGCCGCGAUCAUCUUGGUGAGAUUUUAUAUAAUCUUUCCUUUUGAUUGUUUUUGAAUUCUGAAAACAGAUGAUGAUCUCAUGUUUUGAUCCAGGGAUGCUGAAGAUACUAUUCCCAUGAAGACAACGGUGGAGGCUAGUCUACCGACUACGCUCUUUGGCCCGUUAGUCGAUUUGUCAAUGGAUGAUGCACCUGAGGUUGAAGACUCAAAUCGUCUUGGUGCCACUAUAUCCAUGCUACAAGAGGUCAUCCACUCAGUGGAGGGCCCAUCGGUUCCCUCGAGUUCUGGAGAUGUGCCGUCUUCAACGACUGCUGGUGGCACCUUGGCUUUGGUUGAUGCGACUGAAGUGGGUGAAGUCGGCGCAUCAAGUAUGUUGCUGGAGUAUGAAUGCUUUUGAAGGGAAAUUCCUUUGCAUCCAAUAUUUACCCAUGAGUUUUUGUUAUCAGGGGUUGUUGUGGGUGAAAAUCUGGAGCCUCAAGUUGAUAAGAGUACUGAAGGUUCGGUACUCGCAUCAGAGUCAAAGUUUCGAAGAGCUAUCCUAAGCUUUCAGAUGUGUAUGAGCUGUUUUCUUUGACUAAUUAUGUUUUGAUAAGUCUUGAUGACUUGUUUUGUGUUGCUUGCAGGACCUGUAUGACAAAGCCCAAAGAAAUACUCGAACUCUCCAGGAGCGCAGUGAAACCAUGCAACAGGUGGCGCAACUGGAGCAAGAAUAUAGCCGCCAUAUAGAGUCCUUGAGAGUUCAUGAGGAGGCUGCAAAGUUUUUUGCAGUUGAGCGGAAUGAUCAUGAAGUCCUCCAGGAGCAAUUGGAAGAAUCGCUAUAAAUCUUUGAAUAGGAUAUAUCAGGGUGAGUACUCAUGAUCUUUUGAGUAUGUUUGACUGUAGUCAUAGGUUCUGAUCUGUGAUGCUUGGCGCAGAGCUCAAGAGAAAAGAGGCUGCUGCGAGUAGCCAACUGCUUGAUUGGAGAAACGCUCAUGACCGGAUAGCUGAUGAGGCUGCCCAUCUCAGGGCGUCACUGGCUGAGGCUCAGGCUGCCUAUGAGCAUCAGAGGAGCAGGAGGAAUCAGGAUGGAGUAAUGUUUGCUAUGGCAAUGGUGGCAUGUAGGGAUCACGGUAUAACUAUAGGGAGACUUCAAGGUGAGCUCCAAGAGUUGACUAGUGCCGCCCAGGAUGCAGUAAACGCCCUUGCUCCACUCGAAGGCGAUGCUGAGCCACGCACGUUAGUGAGAGACUAAGAUUUGUCCUGGGUAGAAUUGCUGGACUUUGUAAGAUUGUCUACAAGAAAAUCCUUGCAGUAAUCAAAUCAUAUUACCCGAGGGCAGACUUGUCGGUGGCUGGUGAUGGGGUUGCCCGGAACUGCACGGAAGAUGCUUAUGCGCAGUAUCUUAAGGAGGCUGAACCUAUUGCCGCAAAGAUGAUCGAGUUCAUGUCUUUAGAAGAACCCUAGUUUUGUUGAACUCGAGUUGUAAUCUAUCGAGUACUCAUGGGAGUACUCAAACAAUUCUAUGUAAAUUAUACUUAUUGAAGUCUGAAUUGUGAUCGGUGAUCUCUUAUCUGGCUGAUCUUUGUAGUCGGGAAGAACAAGUCCAAGUAACCGAGUAGUCGUAGUAUCUAUUGCGGUCGUCAAUCAUUGGUGUUGUUGUUGUUACUACUGUUAUUGCCUUGAACUCUGAGAAGGCUCACGGGUGAACUAUGUACUUUUAUCUGUUGUGCUUCAAUACCGUCACGUAGGUGGAGUCAAAGACAUCUGUCUGACCCUUGUCAGUGUUUCAAGUUGUGUCACAAGCAAGCAAUAAUUUCUAGUGGUUGGUAGUUGCAGCCCUUCGGCUUAUAAAUAGGCUCCUGGGUACUCGACCAGGAGCAUGCCCUUCAGUAUAGCGAUGGCUUGCUUCAUAUUGUUGUUGUUUGAUAGUAGAGAGUUUUCAAUGAGUGCCCCGAUGCUAGAUGAUUCCUCGUAGAUGAGAGACACCUUCCCUCCACAGACUCUAGCGCUCGUAGGGAUAGCCGCGAUGCUAGAAGAAUCCUUGUAGGAGGAUUUGUCGCGUGCUUUGUCCUACAAGUCGCGAUCCAACUGGGUACGCGUUGGAACUCGCGGGUGCGGGGUGAUGAGUGCCGCGGUCUUUAUCCGGCUCCCUGAUUAGAGGUGGAGGUGUGGCGUACGGUAAGGAUCUAUGCACUGAAACUGUCCAGGGAACAGCUUGGGUAGUGCACUUUGUCUUCCUGGUACUUUUCGUCCAGAUACUGUGUCGAGGAUUCAUUGUUGCGAUGGUGAAGGAGUAUGUGGUGCUAUCAAGGGAAAAGGACCAGGGUAAGCCUACGUAUUGCGCAGUUUUCUCGUGUGCAGGUCCUGCCUUUUGACACUGCUUGCACUGUGGUAGUCAGACAGUUGCCAGGCCUGUGUAUCCUUGUGAUAUAGAAAAAGCCUGGGACUUCUGUUCUAACUGCUAGUAGGUAGUUGCUUGCAGUCGUUGUUGUGCAAUUGUGUUGUAUUUUGUAUAUCCUGAUUUUAUUGGGUAGUCGAAUGUAACUCUUUGGAGUUUCGUUAAUGCAAAGGAUGCGAUUAAGCUUGAGUACUUGUCCGACUUGUGCUUUUUGAGUAAAAAUGACUAAUGAUGUGGUCGUGGCUUUAUGAAACCGCUUUAGUCUUGUGGAGACGAGUUGAAAACUCUAGAACUGGAACUUCAGUGGCUUCGGUGCCGGCGGUGCGCGCCCUCCCGGCCUGCCCACGCCGUCGGGCAGCGCGUCGAGCUCUGGAGGGUCGACCGCACCGUCGGCGACACUCGGCAACAUCAACGGCGUGCGGACGUGCAACUCGUAACCUGGCGAUCAAGAGAAGAAAACAUAAUUUCGUUAGUGAGUAAUCAAACAAAAAUAUGCAAAACGUACGGACGGUUGCAGCGUGCAUGUACCCGCACCGAGCUCUCAUGCUACAGCGGUGCGAGCAGGAGCAGCACGAGCACGAGAGUGAGAAGAGGCGUUGACUGGGAUGGUCUCUCUAUGGCGGAUUGGCGGGCGAGAGCCCGAGAUGGGGUGCUGAUGGCAGGGAUGAUCUCUCUUGCGAACUUCUUGGCUGUGGUCUGAGCUCUGAGGAGUGCCUGCAGACAGCGUAGCGCGCUUAUGUAUACACUGGAUUAGUGGUUGUAUGCAAGGUACUCAAUAGCGUUUAGCGGUAUGGUAGCGGAUUAAUGUCAGUGUAGCGGAUUGCGGAUAGCGGACGCUACGUCCAAAUAGCGGAAUUUAAAAAUAUUCAUAAUUUUAGAGCAUAUAUGAAUAUUAACAUCAAGUUUACUUAAAAAAAAGUUAAAUUUUAAGUUAGCCAUUACAUUUCAGGGUAAGAAUCAUAAAUAAAUAGAUAUAAUUAAGAUGUAUGGAUAUAUAUUAACAUUAAAUUCUCAUAUCAAUAAAUAAAAAAAUCAUUUUUCAUCCCAUAAUCCUUUGCCUCUACCUAAAUAAUCAUUUUGAACAUUAUUAUUACCAUUUGAUUCAUAUUUAUAUGUCACUUAAUCAUAAAUGUAGUGAAUAGCAGACUAAUAUGAGCAAAAGGGGCCGCAAUAGCAUACAAUAGUGGACAAUAGCGAUCGUUAAGUCCAAACUGUAUCCGCUACCUUUUAGCGGUACCCCUACUUACUUUGGUUGUACGCGGACAGGACGGCAAGACGGCCAGUGGGCAAGUCAACUCUUCAUUCUCGACGGGCUCCGUUCGAUACUACUGACAACCAAGACUGCAAGAACCACUACUUAAAUCAGUACAAUGCAGUCUGCAAGAACCAUUUUUGUUAAAUUAGACCCCGUUUGGAUACCCCUUGCUAAAGUUACCACCUGUUAUAUCGGAUGUUUGGAUGCUAAUUAGAAGUAUUAAACAUAGGCUAAUUAUAAAACUAAUUGCACAUAUAGAGUCUAAUUCGCGAGGCGAAUCUAUUAAGCCUAAUUAGUCCAUAAUUUGACAAUAUGGUGCUACAGUAACCAUUUGCUAAUGAUGUAUUAAUUAGGCUUAAUAGAUUCGUUUCGCGAAUUAGCACAGGAGUUCUGCAAUUGGUUUUAUAAUUAGCUCAUGUUUAGUGCUCCUAAUUAGCAUCCGAACAUACGAUACGACACUGCUAAAAUUUAGCACCUGAUAUCCAAAUACCCUAUCACGCAUCCGUACACCUGCAACCAACAUCCAAUCAUCCAUGCGUCUUCCUAUUUUCUUUUGUAUGCGCUCUCAAAGUUGUUGGAACCUCUAUUUGUCGGGAAUUUCAUGAGUCCGCGAGGCUGCAACCAUGCAUUUGACAGGAGAAGCGACAAGCAUGCAGCUCUCGUCAGGACCUGAGGGUAUUGGGUUACAAAGUCAACUGAUGCGAUACCAGUUAUACAAGGACCUCCAUUGUAUUGACCAACAUCAGUCAAUACCAAAUGAUGGUCAUCCAAGUGGAGAAUUGCACACGAAGCAAAGGAACAGUGUACCUGUGUAAACUAGUAACUCGUCAGUCGUCACUUUCGUAAGAAACAUACAGCAACCUUGGGUUGAGGUUCAGUUAAAACAUCGAACCGUUCAGCUGUGCUUGCAGUUCUCACUGCAAGGUCAAUGCGCUGUUUGUCUGAGAUGUCCAAACGCAUGUGCAUCUCGGAUCGCUUCAGCAACUGCAACUGCAAACACACCAACACAACAGUAGAGAAAUGGGCCACCUCCAUGCCACAGGAAAGGCCCAUAAACCAAAUUAAAGCUCAAAUGUGGCCUAAUUGCGGUCCAAUUAUGAGUGAGCCAGGUCUGGACCAUUCAUCGUGCUGGGCUUUUCAUCGAACCGACGACCUCACCGGGCAUUUUCGGUUCUGUUGUUUGGUGGUGUGGUUCGACUGAAACUCACACCCCAAGAAAAAAGUUUGAAACUGCCAGCUCAACACAUUGCAAUUAUGGGGUGUUACUGCUAACUGCAAAGAUGGAGUUUUCCAAAAACAGAAAAAGAAAACAUGGUGUCUUGUUUCAAAAGAAAGAAGAUUGUGCCCGUAGAGAUUUGUUGGAGGAAUGGAUGUAGCACCCCUUUUAUCGAUUUGUCAAGCGAGUUCUCAACUGUAGUCUAAUAGCAUAUAGAGUCUAGACCAGGACCGUGCAGUGCAGACAACAACUGCCUCCACCAGCGACGCUCCAGUGCUUAGUCCUCGGCCCUUUUCCUCCAAAUUUCCAACUUUAGCACUAUGCAAAAAGAAGAUUCUCCAUCACAUCAAACUUACGGUACAUGUAUGGAGUACUAAAUGUAGACGAAAUCAAAAACUAAUUGCACAGUUUUGUUGUACUUUGCGAGACGAAGCUUUUGAGCCUAAUUAGUCAAUGUUUGAAUAAUAAUUUACAAAUACAAACGAAAUGCUACAGUUGCGCAUUUAUAGCAAAAUGCAAACUUUGCCACUCCCAAAUCGGGAACUAAACAAAAGCCUCAUCUCACUGGCCCGUUAUUCGAUCACCCGAGGCUGAGAUGCCCGAGUGGUUAGCUAACUGCCUGCCAUGAGCCUUAUCCAACACACCAGUUCGCGGCGCCAAAGGCCAGUGGCAAGCUGCCAAUUGCAGGGAAUCGAAUUCAGGGUUCAGACUGGGAUGUGCUCCGGUGGAGUUGGCCAAAAAGGCUGUACUUCUCUCCGUCUCAUUUCUAACCAUUUCACAAAGAAGAUAUCCUCCAUCUUGUAGAUAGAUGACGACACAGUGCUCGUCACUAAAAGGAGACGACGAAAUUAACAACAACAAAAAAAUUGGCAUCCUUUUCAGUUCGUCAACCCCUUCAUCGAAUAAACUAGUAGUAUUCGUCAAGCCUCAGCAAGUCAACAUCCUUCGGCUAAAGGCCUAAAGUCCAGUCUCCCUUUUCUGUACCCCCUCCUACUUUUGUAAGGACGUUGACCUCCCUUUCUUUUAGAAGAAUAAUUUGGCCGCUGACCUUAUUAUGUAUCUGCAACACAAAGUAAAGCACGCGGACAGUUUUCGUCGACUGCGCUGCGCCAUUCACAAGCAACAACAACGUUGACAUUCCUGAAGCUCUGAAAAGCAUCACCGAUCAGCUCCACCUCACCUUUGGCGAAUACUGGAGUGCAGCACAAUCCUCAUACUUCCUGCUGUUGAAAGCCAUACAAACAAAGAAAAGAAAUCAAAUCUGAGCCCAAAAUGAUGCACGAAUUAUUGCAAGCAACUAGGAGAUUGGCCACAGGUGCAGAGAAUACUAGUACAUCUACGCGUUCAAUACUCGGAUGCAGUGUCGAACGACAUGGAUGCAUCCACUGAACUUGUGCUCUUGCUCUGCAAGCGACUACGAGACCAAUCAGCAGUGCAGGUCACAGAGGACGGUCGCUUCAAGUUGGGUGCUGGGCGCAACGGCGCGCCAAGUCAAACGACACUGAUGCAUCCGUCGACCGAAACGGGCACUCUGCGAGCACUACGCUUCCAGGUAGGCUUCAUGCAACUCUAUCGCGCUGUCCGUACGCACGCACGCAUUCCCCCCCCCCCCCCCCCCCCCCCCCCCGAGUUCGUGUCCGUCACUUUCUUAUCUGCUCGCACGGAGAGAUCUUCUCGAUCGGUCCGGCGAGAUCGGACCGGACGCACGACCUCGGAUCCCCGUAUCGCCAUAUCCGCGUCGCUCCGUCAACCGCAUCGCCUUCAUGCUCGCACAUCGUCAACAGCGAUUCCGGUCAACCGGCAAAUUAAAACUUUGCAAGUACAUGGCCAUCUUUUCUGGGACAGAGACCAAUUGAGAGGUGUCAAAACAGUUGACCUGCUGCAGCAGCCUCCUCACAACUGGAGCCGGUGCAACGAAAAGGCGCCGUGUUAUUUCACCUUGCGAUGCCCUGAUUCCAAUUGGUGCGAAAGGGAUUAAGAAAUGGAAUGUGCAAUGGAACAGCGGUAUAGAGCUCAAUGAUGGAAGAUUCUUUGUUAGUGCAAUCAUUAGGUGAGGUGGUGGCAUUCCUAAGCCUUAUAAACCCUAAAGAGAACCUUACGGUUGACAUUGUGUAUGUGUGCAUCCCGGCUGUCUGACUUAUUAGAGGAGUGGACCUUCGGGAUCACGAGUCCGGCGUUGCAAAGGCAGGUUUUCCGGAUCUCCAAAAAGGUCGAGUUCAUGUGCACAAGCCGCCUGAACCCCGCCGUCGCCAGAUCUCACCGACGCGUUUACAGUCGUUCAGAGGCUGGCACGGCCGGGGCACCGUCACGGGCUUCAGUGGCACUGCAGCGCCAGCUCGUGGUGAAAUCGAGUUCAAGCGAAGCAUCAUAACCAUUAACCAGUGUGCUGCCAUAAUCCGUGUGCCGUGAUACACACCGAUGCCUUCCGUUGGAUCCCAUCACUCGCCGUGCACGUAUAUGAUUGUACGAUCCCCGAGCAUUAUUGCUGUGCCGUCCGCUUUAAAAUGGUCGUCCGAGUUGUCUCAUCUGAUGGACGAGACGGCAGGAACGGCACAGCCCCUACCAUGCGAGACUGGAAGUAAAGCUCGGAUUCUUACUUGGGUGAGUGGUGAAAUGGGGGAGUACGUGAAGUGACGUAGAAUCAACCCGGCGGAACCGAAGCGGGGCCGGGGGAGGGAGAGGGCGGGCCGACGCCGCACUGGCAGCCGGGGGCCGGCGGACGAGUGGAGCUGCGCCCACGCUGGCCAAGGAAGCAACGCACUCGACGCGACCGCAUCGCACGCGACGAGAGCCGGCCAUCCAUCCAUGAUCCAUCCACCGUUUUUUCAGGUAGGACCACCCGGUUCGGCCGCCCGCGCCGCAAAGCGCACGCAUCCGCCUCGCCGCUUUCGGUCGGCGCAGGGGCAUGGGCCCCUCGCACGUCGCACACCGCACACUCCUGGCCGCGCCCUCACGCGACCCCACUUGUUGCGCCGGCCGGCUCGGCCUCGGCGUCACGGCGUGGCCUGCGCCGGCCGCACGUCGCCCGCGUCGCGUGCCACUGCAGGCUUCGCGCCGCCGAGACGCGCGCGGCCCGCCGGUGCGCGCAGCAGCAGCAUAUGCAGCCGCUGGCGAACGUGCCGCCGCGGCGCGCUGCAUCCUGCAUAUGCACGGGAAUAUUCCGCCGCGGGACGGAACGGGACGGCGCGGAUGCGUGUCGCCCCCUGACGCCGAUGAGACCCACGGCCACGGGAUAUUCUAUCCGAUCGGAACGGAUUCCUGUCUUUUUUUUCCUUUUCUUUUUAAUCCGAGGAGGAGACGCUGCCGUCGACGGCCGCCCGCGUUGCGCUAUCCACCCGAUGAAUGGAUCCGGAUCGGCGGCAAGUUUCAGGUGGACCGAACGACUGGCAUGAUUCACGACCACAUGCACCAGUGCAUGCACGCGACGGGUUUUGGGUAGGGUUCGUGAACGACACCGUACAAUUGGGGAUUUGACCACGACUGGAGCUUGGACCAGGAGCAACCGCGCGCCAUCCGCAUUCCACAUCAGGGCGGCUGCUGCUGCUGCUGCUGACGCCGGCGCUGCGUCUGAGCUUGCGUUACACGACCGCGAACAGGUCGUCCACUCCAGUCCAGACGCGAGAGUCAUUUUUUUUCUUUCGAAAAUGCCUCCUUUUCCCCCUUUGAAUGUGUAGGUGUAACAGAGGAUUUGGUGGCUACACACCAUAAUUCUGCUGUGGACUUCUACAACGCUACAGACAAGAGAGUGUCGAUGGACCAACCGUGGCCCCCCAAAGCGCACAGGCAGGCACAGCCCCUUUCAGGUGCGCCCGCGCUGACCUCGACCAUCGAUCGAUUCUUUCCUGCACGACGACGCUGAUCGCUCGCCCGUCCAAAGUACACCCAAGUACCCAAACCUGCCCCGGCACUGUGCAUGCCGCUACUCGGUUUCGUAGAACUGUCGCGGUGUCUCCUCUACACACUAGCAGACUGCAUCCAAGAACUUGGCCUGAACUUGUCCGCGAGGGCGAGGACGGCGCGGGGAACGGGCGGUGAAAGUGCCGUCCGCCCUGAUCUGGGGCAGGGGAGUUGACGGACGCGGGCUCUGAAGGUUCCUCCGUUGAUUACCCGCAGCGCAGACCGGCAGACCCCCGCGUCUUCCCACCGCGCGAGGAGAGAACGGAGAAGUCUACGCCUAUCCGUCCAGGCGUCCACACCACAGACGCUGAGACGCAGAGGCGCAGGCCCGCCGCAUUAACACACGAGCGAGCGCGUGGUGUGCCCGGCACGCGGCGGAAAAAUAAUAUGGAUGACAGACGCUGGAAAAAUUGGAAUGACUGAUUUGUUGUGAGAGAAAAAUACUGUUCGAUAGCUGAUAAACCGGCUGAUAAGCUGAAGCAAACCGAACAAAAUACCUUCCUUAUUUAACACUGGGAUUUAUUUUUCGUUCCUUUCUUAACAUUUAUUCCUUAUUUGAUAUCAAGAUUUAUUUUUCAUUCCUUUAUUAGCACUUCUAUUAGUUUGAAUGGUAAGGUCCACCUAAAAAGACAUUUUUACCCCUCAUCUUAUCUAAUGAUAUAGAGCCAAUCCUCUUAGUGCCAUUGAAAUUUAGAUCACUUUCUUGUGUGCCAUCAAAUUUUUGGCUAUUUUUCCUUGCAUGCCAUUUCAGAUUCAUAUCGUAGCAAAAUAAAUGGAGAUGGAAAUAAUUCUAAGUAAGGGGAGGCGGGCUCCCAGCAGGCUGGUGCGGGCGCGCUGUCCCUCGGCCCUGCGAUGCGGAAGAGCGGUGCCCCGCCAGGCCAAAGCGACGGGAGCCGCGGCCGAUCAAGAUAAGGUCGCGCGAAGUGGGCCCGUCAGAUAAGUAGAUUGAGAGGCAAAAGUGCCAUUUCACAUGUCGAAUCGAGUCCUCCAAUAACUGUCCGUUAAGUUUCCUUAAAUAACUGUUCCGUUUCUAAUGAAAGUUCAUGGUCAUGGCACCGAAGUGUCAUGAAAGGAACGAAAGAUAAAUCCUAGUACCAAAUAAGGAAUAUAAGUGUUAAAAAAGAAUGGAAAAUAAAUUUCGGUGUCAAAUAAGGGAGAUAAAAAUAGAUAAAUCCUAGUACCAAAUAAGGAAUAUAAGUGUUAAAAAAGAAUGAAAAAUAAAUUCCGGUGGUAAAUAAGGGUGACAAAAAUUUCUAAUAUAGAGAAUCAGUUUAUUAUGGAGUGCCACGCAGGGAAUCUCUAAAAAAGACUUGCUUCCCACGCCUUUUGGCCAUCCAUUUCCUAAUUAAUCGAUCCUGCGCUUUUGCCACACGCCAAACACCUUCCAUGUUUUAAACUUGCAAUCCUCCCUAAUCCCGCGGGCCCCAAGCACAAGCCGUCCUCCCUCCCCUCCCGCCUAUAGCAGGAGUGUGUAUAUAUAAACGCGCGCCUCACCUGGCACCCGCCACAAAAAGACUCAGCACGAGAGCAACGCAAAGCCAGCUCGGGACAAGUCAAGAGCCAUCGGGCCCAACAGAAACCACCACCAUCAAAGCAACAGCAAGAAAGGAGAAGCGGAAGGCAUGGCGGCGACGGCGAUGGCCGUGAGCGGGAGGUGGACGCGGGUGCGGACGCUGGGCCGCGGCGCGUCAGGGGCCGAGGUCUUCCUGGCCGCCGACGAGGCGUCCGGGGAGCUCUUCGCGGUGAAGGCCGCGCCGGCGUCGGCCGCGGACACGCUACAGCGGGAGCAGGGGGUCAUGGCGGGCCUCCGCUCGCCGCACGUCGUCCCCUGCAUCGGCGGCCGCGCCGGGCGGGACGGCUCGUACCAGCUCUUCCUCGAGUUCGCGCCGGGCGGGACGCUCGCCGACGCGGCGGCGAGGAGCGGCGGGCGGCUCGGGGAGCGCGACGUCCGCGCGUACGCGGCCGACGUCGCCAGGGGCCUGGCCUACGUCCACGGGGCCGGCCUCGUGCACGGGGACGUCAAGCCGCGGAACGUCGUGAUCGGCGGGGACGGCCGGGCCAAGCUCGCGGACUUCGGGUGCGCGCGGAGGGCCAGCGCCGCCGCCGCCGCCGCGCGGCCGAUCGGCGGCACGCCCGUGUUCAUGGCGCCGGAGGUGGCGCGCGGGGAGGAUCAGGGCCCGGCCGCCGACGUCUGGGCGCUCGGGUGCACCGUCAUCGAGAUGGCCACGGGCCGCGCGCCGUGGAGCGGCGUGGUCGGCGACGUGCUCGCCGCGGUGCGCCUGAUCGGGUACACGGACGCCGCGCCCGAGGUGCCCCGGUGGUUGUCCGCGGAGGCCAGGGACUUCCUGGGCAGGUGCCUGGAGCGGCGCCCGGGCGACCGGCCCACGGCGGCGCAGCUGCUCGAGCACCCGUUCCUCGCCUCCGCCGGCGGCUGCGAAGCCACCAAGGGCGAAUGGGUGUCGCCCAAGAGCACGCUGGACGCUGCAUUCUGGGAGUCCGACAGCGACGACGAGGACCACGACGUGUCGUCGCAGAGCACCGCCGAGAGGAUCGGGGCGUUGGCCUGCCCCGCUUCGGCCUUGCCGGACUGGGACUCCGACGAGGGCUGGAUCGAUGUGCUCUCCACGCCAACCGAAGCGUCCGAGGCAGCGACCGCAGCGGACGCCGUGGAGGCCACUUGCCUCGACGGCGGUGUCGGGAGCGAAGAGGAAGCGAGCGCGGAGGCCGUGCCCCACGACAUUGAUGCGGACAGCGGCGCCGGCGCCCACAAUGUAGGAGAAGCUGACUCUUCAGCUGAGCACGAGAGGCGUCAUCCGUGUGUGAAUUCAGGCUGUGAUGAUGACGAUGUCCCAUGUAAAUUACUUCGCGACACAAACAAUACAAUGAAAUUUGCUUUCGCCCAAAUCUUGCUCUGUUCAUCCCCAUUCCCACAUGCAGAAAUUCCUGUUCUUUCGAAUGCGCUCUGUUUCUCGCUUCGGAGCGCUCACAUGAACGAGUUCACACCUAAAUUCCAGAGCGCUGUAAAAUUCGCCGCUUGCUUCGCUUUGGACAGCACGUUGCGCCGCCCGCGCAGCCGUGAUUGUGACUCUGACGAGGAAAAAAAGCGCGCAGGAACCUAGCGGCCAAUCCCCGGCCCAGCUUUGAGCUUCCCCGCCACGGCACGCGCCGAAGGUUCCAACGCGGAGGGAGCGAGUCACUCGCGUCGACACGGAAAAGCGCAGCGUCAGCGCGGACGCAGAAAGGGGUUUCUGCCAUUCCGGAGUUUACUUACUUCGCCCGCUCCCGCUGUCUAAAACUCCGUAACUCGGGGGGCCAGGAAAGGCCACGUGCGAGCCCGCCCCGACGGGCGACGGCGAUAGAAAAAAGAGCUAGUAUAGCAUAGCGGAGGUCCUCCGGUUGCUUCCUCCGGUGGGGAUCCGCCAGGCGCCAGGGGAUGGGAGGAGGAGCCGAGGGAUAUCCAUUAUCCUGCCGUGGGCGCCCGGCUCUUCCAUUCCAUUUCCACCCGGCCACGGACUCGUCGCGCGCGCUUCCUUCUGGAACGGUAGCGUGUCGGUGCGGGAUGACGAGGAGCUGGACCUUGGCCCGGCUGGCUCUGGUCCGCGCUGUAGGUUCACCGCUGUCUGCGCUUUCCAACGUUUCCAGACUGUGAAAGAGGGCUCAUAGGUUAUCCGCUGCUCGGUUUGGUCCACACGGCACGUACAGUGCGUCGCCAGCCGCGUCUGAUCAUCACGCAAGGGAACCAUAUGCUCUGCCUCUGCGCCUCCUCCUCGACACCUCACUCUCCCUCGCGAAAUCUUACCCGGAUCUUCCUCUCAAGACACAAAUUAGCGACGCGAUCCAGGUGUUCAGCUUGCGUCACGCUGGACCGUACCCCCAAACAGUUAGGCAAAAGCGUGCGAGGACGGUGGGUUUGGAUAUGGUCGCCAAGCCGCAGCAGCACCGGUGGGCGGGCAGGCCGGAAGGAGCACGAAGCGAAUCCACGGUCCACCACCGUCCACGACUGACCCGGGCCGGGGCGAUAUGCUGAUAUGCAUCGGCCGCCACCGCCGCCUCGUUCGUUCCUUGUCAUCCGAUCUGAAUUGUCCUAUCCCCCGAGGAGUAGUAGAGCCCGCGGCUUUCGGCUUCCUUCGAGUGCUCCCCAGGCUGACUCCGCCGAGCCUUUCCCCGGGUGCUUUCUGUUGCUUUCGCCGCCUUUCCCCUCCCUUCCAAGCAACGGGGCCGCCGGGUGAAGGAAUCUUCAAGGGCCGGAGAGAUCCGGACGGUUAAAACUUAAAUCCGCAUCGCUGUCACGGCGUGUCCUGAUCGAAAUUCGAACCCCUGAUGCCGCGUUUAGAACACCCGUCGUCGGCGAUCAUGGAGAGAGUGUGUGCAGUCUCGGAUCCCGUGACAUGACGUGAUUAGGAAUAGUACUAGUUCAGAUAUUUUUGUGUUCUAGAUAGAGUGCGGCUAAACUGAAUGCUUCUUGCGAGCCAAGCAAGGCCAAGUACACCUGGUGGUACGUGAUAGGCGAACUUCAGGACCAGUAUAGAAGGGUGCAGCUUACUUAACGAGUUAACGCCGUACUACUAGUAACUAAUAGCCAGUCAAGCGCCUGUACGUACUAGUAAUAAGGCUUUUGUGUAAGAGUCGCAGAAAUUAACUUUCAUCAUCAUACCAUAACUUGCAAUGAAUCUUGCAGCCAGAUAACUUUUAAAAAAAAUCUUGCAGCCAGUUAAGUAAAGCUACUGUUCAAAAAUUAAGCUAGUUUAUGUGUUGUUGAAGAACAGGGCAUCUGAACAUCUGAAUGCUUCCCCUUACAACAACAGUUGACCCCGAUAAAAAUACCCAGCGAGUCCAUACCAAAUGAACGUCCCAUGCAGGACAAUCAUGAGGACCCAUGAUCCCAAGCCGAUAUUAUAGCUAGUGAUGAGCUCGAAUAAACAAAACAAGCAACUAAUCGCGUACUCCUGCUGCUUACCGACGGGGGCUUGGAUCCUGCGAGAGAUUGACCACCUCAGCGGGCCUCGACCGGUUGGCGUCAAAACAAGCCUGCGGCUGCGGCUGCCGUAUCGACCACACCGUACCCCAACGAGGUCUCGCGCUGCCAAUCAUGAGGCGGCGAACCGUUCGGCACGCCGCAGCAUGUGCUGCGGUGGCGUGCAGCCCACCGAGACCGAACCGCGCAUUUGUUUUAUUUUUUUGGCGUGUGCCGUAUCUCCUGGAUCGCCCCCGAUAUCGUAUCGUUAGGCCACCGGCGCCGUGCCAACUGGAUAGGCGUCGCCUGCUGCUCGGUUUACGUGUUCCGCACCACGUCUCCGCUUCGCUCCGGUUCGGCUCGUGAGCCACAUGGCUGCGCGUCGCGCUGCCCACAUGUUUUUUUUGUUGUUGUUGCUGUAUUGUUUUGGCUGUUUGUUGGGGGAUGGACCUGCACGGGGAUAAACAACGACCGACACCAGCUGACUUCAUCACCUCGCAUUCGCUUGAGCAGAGAAGAGGUGGUGGUGGUGCCGUGCGUAGUAGGGAUUGCCACGGGCCGCGGCAUCGAUUUGGCACGCAAAACUUAAUGCCCACUUCAUUAGUUUGGUCAAAAGAUCAAAAAGGCCACCAGACGUCAGCGAAGAUCACACACCGACGACUGUUUAAUAACAUUUUGCAGAUAUACUCUUACCUGCUAUUGCAGUUAGCAACAGCCGUACUCGGUCGAGUCGCGUGGACUCGAUCAGUCAACGUUAUUCAUCCAUUCCCCCCACUUCCUGCUCUGAGGCGUGCUGAGUACCUUGCCGGUCCUGAACUCGCUUCCAGAGUUCCAGUUUCCAGCGAUGCGUUCAUAAACAAAGCAUUCACAGCUUCUGAGUCAAGCUGACAACAUACGAAUGCAGAGUAGGGUGGGCUGCGAUCCCAUGGCAAUACCGCUGUUCACACGUUCACCAGCUCACCAACGACGCAACGAUCUGAGAGAGGGACAAGUGUGCUUUCCACAACAAGAAAGGAGGAGAGCGAGCGGCAACAAACACUGGCUCCGCUUCACACCUGUCAAACCGGCAAGCACGCCACUGUCCGGAUGAACCUACCCAACCUGUACUCGGCCAACUCUUCGGGUACCAGGUGCGCCAACAGAUGGCACCACGCCCGGCCGGCUGCAGCCGAGAGAUGCUAGAGACUAGAGAGCGAGGCUGCAGGGGCUGAGCGGUAGCGAGGUUGGAUCGACCACGGGUGCUGGCUGCUGCGGGCAUGGCUUGCAUCACCUAAUAGACGUGGCGACUGGUGAGAUCGAGUUCGUGGUAAAGCAUAGUAGCAUACAGUCUGAUGAGAGCUGAUCAUCACGCGGCUGCCUAACACGGCGUCCAGAUCAGCUCAUCUUCAGAAAUUUCGAUACACGACUCUGCCAUGGUUUUGCUUCUCCUUCCGUAGCAUGAUCGAGACGGUGGUGGGACUUGACCAAAUCAUAUCCUCGUACAUGUUUCGGUGUGUCUCCAGUAUUUUGUGCACGUUUAACCAAUCGUGAUCGUCUUAAGUUUUAUACUUCUAUGUGAAUAUUGAUUCCUUACUAACUGUGGAGGAAUAUAAUUUGAUGACUAGACUUUUAUCUUAUGCCGACAGAUAACUUCAACACCUUAUGUUUACUAAAAAUAAGAUUACUUUGGAAUUUCUUAAUUAAAGUAUAUUCCGAAUAUGAACAACACUGGUAAAGGAUUCUGAUGCUGAUUGUAUCUAUUUGAAUAUGCUUUUAGCGUGAACAAUUACACAACAAGCGACGUUACAUAAGAGUUUGUAAAACUGGUUGUACAACGUCAUCUACUUAACAAUUAUUUUGGCAUUUCAUGCUCCAUAUAAAGAAAAAACAACUAGUACAUUGUUUUUCCUAUGAAUAAUUUACACGUCAAUUGUUGCUCUUAGAGAAAAGCCGAUGAUACCGGGUACUAGAGUGCACGACAUCUUCUCUUGUAAGUCGUGACCACAAAUCUUAUAGCUAUUAACUUAUCUCUACAGCCAGCACCCUCUACGUCUUUGGCAGUGCCUUACUAGUCUCAUCUUAUCAACUAACAAAAUCUUAUAGCUAUCGAACUAAAUGUUGUAGCAUCAUCCAUAAAAUUAAAAUUAAAUAAAUAUUGUAGCAUCUUCAUAGUUCGGUUUUUUAUUUCAAGAAAUAUUUUUUUUCAUUCUCGGAUUGACGCCAUCCGGAAAUAGAACCCAUGAAGCUUCCUUUCCAAAUCGACACGAAUAGUCACCGCAUCCAGUCCGAAAUAGGCAUUCAGCCCUCGUUUUCCACUUGCCCUGCCCGCAAAACCCACGUUCCGUGCGCCCCACGUGGCCAAAUAUCUCGACCGAUCGGGACCCGCCCCGCGCGGCCCACAGGCUAGGGAAGCGGAGCGCCCGAGCCGCCCGACGCUUCCCCCACCCCCGCGUCACCGCAUUCCUCACGUGCUCUCGCGAGCGCGCCACCGAACCAGAACCCGCCACCGAGUCGGGCACGCCACCGAACUCGUCUCGACCUCCUCCUCCCACCCACGCCUAUAAAUACGCGGCCGCGGCCGGAUCGGCGGCAAGGCAUCGCGCCACGCAGAUCGGAAGCGAAUUCCCGAGACCUAGCCCCCCAACGAAACCGAAAGAAAUCCAGUGGGAUCACGAGUUCACCGAUGAUGGCGAUGGAUGCGGAGAUCGGCGGCCGCCGCCUGACGCGGCUCCGGACGCUCGGCCGCGGCGCGUCGGGCGCCGUCGUGUCGCUCUUCGCGGUGGGCGAGGAGGGCGAGCUCCUGGCCGUCAAGUCGGCGGGCGGCGCCGCGGGGGCGGCGCAGCUUCUGCGCGAGGGCGGGAUCAUGGCCUCCCUCCGCUCGCCGCACGUGCUCCCCUGUCUGGGCUUCCGCGCCACCGCGGGCGGGGAGUUCCAGCUGCUCCUCGAGUUCGCGCCCGGCGGCUCGCUGGCCGACGAGGUGGGGAGGAAUGGCGGCCGCCUGGGGGAGGCCGCCGUGCGGGCGUACGCGGCGGACGUGGCCCGGGGCAUCGCGUACCUCCACGGGGAGGAGUCCGUGGUGCACGGGGACGUCAAGGCGAGGAACGUGGUGAUCGGGGCCGACGGGCGCGCCAAGCUCGCCGACUUCGGGUGCGCGAGGCGCGUGGGAUCCAAGGGCCCGAUCGGCGGCACGCCGGCGUUCAUGGCGCCGGAGGUGUCGCGCGGGGAGGAGCAGGGCCCCGCGGCCGAUGUCUGGGCGCUGGGGUGCACCGUCAUCGAGAUGGCCACCGGCCGCGCCCCGUGGACCGACCUGGACCUCGACGACGUGGUCGCGGUGGUGCACCUGAUCGGGUACACGGACGCCGUGCCGGAGGCGCCGGCGUGGCUAUCGGCGGAGGCGAAGGAUUUCCUGGACAAGUGCCUGAGGCGUGACGCCAGCGAGCGGUGGACGGCGGCUCAGCUUCUGGAGCACCCGUUCCUGGCAACCGCCGGCUGCGGCGUCAAAGCAGAGGAUGCAAAGCCCAUGUGGGUGUCCCCCAAGAGCACGCUGGAUGCCGCAUUCUGGGAGUCUGACGCCGACGACGAGGACGACGAGAUGCCAGAGAGCGCAGCCGACAGGAUCAGGGCAUUGGCAGGUCCAUGCUCGGCCUUGCCGGAGUGGGAAUCCGACGACGAUUGGAUCGAAGUGUGCGGCGGUUGCUCUGAAGUUUCGGACACAGCGGCCGCUGCCCAAGAAGUGAACUUUCCGGCCACGGAAUGCAAAAUUCCUAGCACGGCGGUGGCGGCAUCAUCGGAGCAGUUGCGCAGUGAAGUUCCUGAUGUUCUUCCACCCAUGGCUGCCCCGGAAGCGGAGACGAGGAGCUACGAAAAUUUCUGGGGGGAAGAACCGGAAGCAGAACUGGAGGCCGAGCUUGUUGACGCUGACUUGGAUGUCGGCGAUGGUCCUGUGCACAAUGUAGGAGCUGCAGAUGCUUAUGCUCAUCGGCAACAGCAAGAUGUGUAUGCGAAUUUCGCAAGUGAUUCAGUUGUACUACUUCACUCUGAUAUUUCUGAUGAAGAAAUAGGAAAAAGUCCUUUUCAUGGUCAAAUUGCCCCCUUUUCUCCUCCUUUCGUCUUCUAAUUUUGCCCCCUACUAACUCCAAACUGACAGAGUUAAGACUUGUUUGUUUCUUUAGGAGCUCCUAAAAUUUCUAUCACAUCGAAUGUUUAAAUACUAAUUGAGAGUAUUAAACAUACACUAAUUACAAAACCAAUUGAACAGAUGGAAGCUAAUUUGCGAGACAAAUUUAUUAAACCUAAUUAGUCCCUGAUUUGAUAAUAUGGUGCUACAGUAAACAUGCGCUAAUGAUGGAUUAAUUAGACUUAAUAGAUUCAUAUCGUGAAUUAGCCUCCAUCUGUGUAAUUAGAUUUAUAAUUAGCUCAUAUUUAGUUCUCCUAAUUAGCCUCCAAAUAUUCGAUGCGACAUGAAUUUUAAUCCGGGCUAAAGAUCAAACACCCCCUAGGAACCAUUGAGAUUGAGUACAGGAGCUUUUCAUUGAAUCCCGCGAGAAUCUAACAAUUUCGUAGCCACGUGAAAUUGAACCAAAGAUUCGUGUCGUGAACUUGAUGCGGCAUCACUGUCCAGUAGAAGAACGAUGAGCCCUCCAUGCAGUAGUAACCGUUUGAGUGAAAACCAUGAAACGUCCUAUCCUCUGAAACACACGAAGUGACAGCAACCGUGACCCCGAUCAACACCCAGCUCGACAACUCAGAAAUCCAACCCAACCACACAUCUAAUCCAGUCUCAUAUCCCAAACCCAAAGCAACACCCAAAGAGUUUGGACAAUCUCGCGGCAACUUUGGGCGUUGCCGACAAAUGUGGCAAGCAAACACACGCUCGCGGCCCUCAUCAUCUCAUCACAGGUGUACGCUGCAACCACAGCUCCAUCCAUCCAUGAUCCAUCCAUCAGCUCCAGAAACACGCUCGCUCGAACGAACCCCUGGCCAUCGUGUCAUGUGGCGACAUGGCGUCGUCGCUCGAUCGGUGCCCGGCCCAGCUUCUAGAGAUUCUUCUUUUUCCCACGGCAAGAAAACGCCGGCGCUGUGGACGCGCGGGGCCGCGUGACGACCUGUCUUCGCGCGACGCCGUCCAAGUGGCGCGCGCUCGUGUGAUGGUGGGCACUCCCCUAUAGCCUGCAACGAGACGGCGAGAGUGGGGAUUAGCCCAGGAACACGGCAGCAGUCGUACACGUUUGCUAGGUUGUUGGAACUUGGAAGCAGGAAAGCUAGCUGUGUGUGUGAUCCACGGCGACACUUGUCCAUGUGCUCUGGAUGAGCUCACGCGUGACAUGUGUGUGAAAACAAAGGUCUUUGUUGUCUGGAGCUUCUGUAUGUGCUCGUUUCUAGACCGAUUUCUGUCGAGCCAGUGAUCUCCUUUUUGUUGGCACCGUUUAACUUUCUACGAUCUUGGACUAACCGUUUACUGAUGACAAUGUGUUGUAUACCGUAGUAUCUAGAUGCCAUUUACUAGUAAACCCAACGUUUUUCGAGAGGUCAGUUGACCUGCCGGGGUAAAUGUUAGAAAACGCACCGGCUAGACGGGAGCAGUUCAAGUCUUGCGUUCACAUCGCACACAUUCCCAUUGGCACUGCUCAUGUGCCGUUCCAGAGUGGACCUCAAGGAACGAGUGCUUCUUAUGGAGCAAGUCAAGAGUGCCAGGUCGAACUGUCAACAACCUUGGCAUGCAUGUGUCAGUGUCACUUCCCCUCGUCGCCUUUGCGCUUUGAUCGAUCCGCCUGCCUUGCGCUUGAAUUCUUGGAAAGAGCUUUUCGUGUGAACCAGUUCCUUGCUCCUCAAGGGAGAUCGGAGUCCCUCUCUUUUUUUGGGAGCUAGCAAUGGUGGCCGUGGCCUUGCUGCAUCUAGAGACCUGUCCAGGUGUACAACGAUCCCAGAGGGACCAGACAGACAAAAGGCACCAGCGCAGGGCCACCAAACAAACUGUAUCCACAGCGUGCAAAUAUUUGCAACCGCAUCCAUGGUCCCAUGUAGGCGCCACGCUGCAGUCGCAAACGAUGCUCUUUGCCCUGGUUGACGAAGAUUAUCACCUAAUGUAAUCUGACUUUUUAGAAGGUGGUUGAGUCCCCGGAAUCUGAACCAUCAGGCCAAUCAGUCGUAAGACCUGCGUCAGGCGUCGCGUCACCAUGCGAGGUCAGCAAGUUUUCAGGUCAGCCCGGGCGAGAGUUCUUGGAACCACGGCAUGGAGGUCCCGUAUUUUCCCUGCGUGACUGGUGCGUCGUCAGCGGUUAACUAGCAUCCCUGCAGUUGACGCUGGCCGUGACGCACAAGAAGAAGAAGCCGGGUGCCUGCUGCUGCAGGUGCGUGUCGUCUUCGUCGCCCGUGGCCGUCUCCUCCUUUGGCAGCUUUCCGAGUCAAUCCCUUCUCGUUUCAGAACUUUCCAAGUCAUUCUCGGCAGGUGCGGGUGCGGAUCAGCGGGUGAGGCUCCGCCGGCGAAGGUUGAACGGCGGACUGACUGUUCCUGACGAGCGAGCAAGGCAAAACGAGAUGCCGUGACUGUGCUCUUUUUAAUUAUGGACUGCGAGAGACGGGUUCAGACUUCAGACCAUUCUGCGCCACACAGCCACACAGGCAACGAACGUAACGAACGCAUGUUAGGAAGAUGGUAUACUAUAAGCUCGUGCGUUAUGGACCGACGAAUAUUAGAGACAAGUGAUCGUUGGUGAGAUGCUAUUAGAGACUGACUGGCCGCGUGGAUGUGCAAACGAGUCAAUUCAACCGUCAGGUGCUGGGUUGGGCAAGGGGGCAACACGGACUCGCUGGCUCUGGGUUCACUGUGGCUAUUAGAGUCCAUGGGCUCAUCACUCAUGGGGCUCACAUUUGGGUGGCCUUUCUUUGUGGCGUGCUUAUGCCGUGUUAGCGAACCAAAGUGCAAUGCUUAAUUUGGUUCGCACUUCCAUACCAAAGUUCUGAUUAGAAAGUACGAACCAAAGUUAAAAUUACCAAAGUUCUGAUUAGGAACUGCCGAUUUUAAUUUGUUUCACCCGCGUCAGGCACCGAACGCAGACAAAAUUAUCAGUGUUCCAUACUUAAGAGUGGCCCUCAAAAGAAAUUCAAGAACGGUGGCUCACGAAUCAGGAGCCUAAAACUUCAAUUUUCAGUUGCAUAAAGAAACAACUUUGACAAAAUAAUAGAUAUGUAUCCAAGCUUCCUUUUCCUUUCCUUUUAUUUUAUUGAGAAAAUGGACAUGUAUGCAAUGCAAGCUUUGUUCUUUUUUUGGAAAUGCAUACUUUGGUGGAAGAAGGAAAAAAUUCAGGUCGAGGAUUUGUUUGGAUGGGCCGAAUUCCCGAACCGUUGCGAAAUCAAUUUGGCCCAACAAGGCCUGCUACUCUUGGGCCAAAAUUUAGAAGGCCUGGACCUGCUCCGAAAGUAGGAGGACGACGAGGAUUGUUACUGAUGAUGAUUCCAAUAAGAAAAUCAUCUGAAAAUUGGAGUACGCGAUUUUGCAGUAACAAAGACAGUCAAAUCUUAGGUUAGCUCUUCUCCGAUGGAGCGGCUUAUCUAGUGGAGCUAAAGCUAUUUUGAAAAUGUAUUGGUAAAAUGGCUUAUUAAUGACAAUAUGAGUAAUUUUACAGUCAGUUUAAUGCUUGGAGAGGGAGGAGAAAUUGGCGCGGCUUCUUCCUAGCUUCGGUGAUGGAGCCGUCUUGAAAUUGCCCAUUUAAGUAAGUGACGGAGAAAGUCUCGGAGAAGCUUUACUUCGAAAUUGCUCCCUUUAGGGGGUGUUUGGAUACACCCCACUAAAAUUUAGCACAUGUCACAUCGGAUGUUUGAAUGCUAAAUAGGAGUAUUAAACAUAGGUUAAUUACAAAACUAAUUGCACAGAUGGAGUCUAAUUCGCGAGACGAAUCUAUCUAUACCUAAUAUUAAAGAGAGGAUGUUUCUUUCAAUCCUUCAACCGUCGUGGUUUUUUUGCAAAAAAGCCCCUCAAGGUUUUGGUAAUCAACCCGCAGUCCAACUUUUGAAGAAAGGGGAGCUCGGGUGGAAAAAGGAGAGAAGAGAGGGGGUUAAAGGGGGAAAAUCUUGGACGACCGGCGUCUUGGGCUCGAUCACGGCCGUGGAGAAGGGGAGGAGGGUGGGGCCGCUAAGGCUUGGGCGGUGAGAGCAGCUGGCAGGGGAGGUGGAGGACGCCGGAGUUGACAGGAAGAGCGGCGUGGAGGCGGUGGGGCGAUCGGUGGGCGAUGUGGUCGGCGGCGAAGUCGCCGCCGAGCAUGGUCGGUGGGAGCAGCCGACGGCGGGGGCGGAGGUCGGAGAGAAAGGAGGAGGGGGAUGGGGAGGGGGUAGGCGGCGCUCGCCGGCGUCGGUGGGGCGGGGUCGAGCGGGCAGGCGGGGGAAGAAGGCAUCGGUGGCAGUGCUCCACUCCUCUGUUCGGCGCUCCUCGUGCCCGCCGCGAGAUCCCUGACGAGAUCAUGGACGAGAUCCUGCUCCGCCUGCCCUCCCGCUCCGCGCUGGCGCGCGCCGCCGCCGCAAGCGGCGACUUCCGCGCGCUCGUCGCCUCCCCGCGCUUCCUCCGCCACCACCGCGCGCUGCAACGGGACCCCGGCGCGCUCCUCGGGGUCUUCACCUUCUCCCUCAGCAGCGACGGUGGCAACGGCACGGGCUUCCACCCCGCGGAGCUGUCGCACCCACCAUCGCCGGCGCCACGGACUUCUCCUUCGGGUUCCUCCCGGCGAAUCCCUCCGCCGCGGACGGAGAUGGAGCCGAAGCCGAAGCCGAGGGGUGGAUGGUCCGGGACUACCGCGACGGCCGCUUUCUCCUCGACCGCGUGGCGUCAGGGACCGAGAGGGGCACCGUGUUCACCGAGCUCGCCGUCUGCGACCCCCUCUCCCGCCGCUACGCCCUGCUCCCGCCCAUCUCUGAGGACCUCGCCGCGAUCGUCGACGAUGUGCUAAACGUCUUCGGCGGUCGGCGUGCGUGCGAGCCUUUCCUCGCCCUCGCCGAGGCCUGCUAUGACGACCCCGACGCGGCGCCGCCCUUCACCGUGUUCUGGUCGGCCCGAUGCCAGUGGAAGGUCGCCGCCUUCGCCUUCUCCUCGAGCGACGGGCGGUGGCGCGCGCUCCCGUCGCCGAACUGCUUCAUCUGGCGCCGGCACAGGUCACCGUUCGGCUGCCCGAUGCACACCGUCUGGAACCGGCGACACUACACGCACGACCGCUUCUACUGGGUGGACUGCCUCACCAAUCGGUGGCUCGUGCUCGACACGCGUGCUAUGGAGCUCGCCCUCUCCAUCAUCCCCUUGUCGACCGGCUACUGGAGGAGCACGUUGCCGUCGUUGAGGCCCCCGACGGGUACGUCGGCGUGUUCGCGCAUGACUUCCACCACCCCGGCGGCAAAGCCGAUCUCCACUACUACACGAUCGUGCAGGACGCCGACAGGCCGUGGUGGUGGCUGGAGAACACGAUCCCGCUGUCGUGGCUGGCGGCGUACCACCGGCCGUUCUGCCUCCGGGGCACGGCCAACCACCAACGGGUGCUUAAUCCUCGAGGUCAGCGAGGAGAAGCCGGCGUUCAUGGCGAGCUACCGUGUCAGGGACGCCGAGCUGUUCAAAAUCGACGUCAAAAGCUUCCAGCUGGAGAAGAUCUGCCAGGCACAGUGCGCUGGGUAGUGUUGCUGGCAGUACUUCGGCUUCCCGCCAUCGCUGUCCGUGCCCACUGUAUGAGCAGCAUGGUGAUAUCGCUGAACAAAAUUAUGUUCCAGCUGGCUGCUCAUAGAGUUAGAGCCUUGAGUUUGUCUGGCAUAUAUAUAAUAAUGAUACAAGCAACAAUUUGUACUGAUCCAGUCUGUUCACAAUCCCAAUGCAUACAUACAGAUACAUCUUACAGUACAAAGCAAAACAACAAUCUCAACAUUAUUCAGCUGUACAAACCCCACAAGCAGGGGUAAACAUUACCCAAAACUUAUAGGUUACAGUCACAUCCAUGUCACUUGCUGUUUAUUAAGUUCGUCUUGCAUACUCUGUCUCAUUGCCAUGGAUUCUUAUUUCCACCAGUACUGCAGCGAUGAACAGCUCCUAGCUUGCUGUUUAUUCAGAUCCUUUUGUAUACUCUGUCCCAUUGCCAUGGCCUCUUACUUCCACCGGUACCAUACCAGUGCGCUAAUACAGCAUCGCACCUUACACACAAACGAUGGCAACUUGUAAGAGGCAAAAGGAACCACGAAGAGAGACCGAGCCGGGUGCUCCUAGAUUGCUCUGUGUUUCUAUAUCUUCCACACCAUGUUCAUCGUUCUCUUUGUUCUCUUAAAGGACAGCUCGAGGUCAGCUAACCACAAGAUUUACCACAGCCUAACAAAGGAAGAGGAUGACCCAGUGCCUCGAAAAGCCGGUCCAGGGUCUGCUGAGGAUGGUUCAUUGAUACCAGAACUAUUUCCAUAUGAUGAUGCAUUCGAGCUCACCAAGUCUGUUACAGCAGGUGCAAAAUUCUCCACAAACAUGCCACAAGAAAAGUCUCGCCAGAAGGCAUGUUGAUGUAUGAAACUGUACAAUCCUGAAGAUCUACGCAAAUGAGUCUGUUUUGGUUGCCAAAGAAGAUCUAGGUGCUUAUGAGAAGGUGGACAUGCUAGAAACAAUACUGGGAUUUUUUACCAAGCUUGAAGAAAACGGGAUUGCAAUUGGCCAAGAGCCCUCUCAGUUGCUUGUUGUGUGGUUCUGAAGGCUUGGUGUAGUUCAUGAAGUCGAACAGGUUCUGAAGGAGCUCUUAGAAGACAUGAAGACCAAGCAAACAGUUGCAGUAUCGGUGGAACAGAGGUUAUAUAGCACUAUGACACAUGAAUCGGGAAUAAGAAGAUAAUUAUUUUAGAGAGGAUAAAUACCCGUAGCAACGCACGGGCAAUUCUACUAGUUAAGUCUAAUUAGUCCAUGAUUUGAUAAUGUGGUGCUACAGUAACCACUUGCUAAUGACGGAUUAAUUAGGUUUAAUAGAUUCGUCUCGCGAAUUAGCACAGGGUUCUGCAAUUAGUUUUAUAAUUAGCUCAUGUUUAAUCCUCCUAAGUAGCAUUCGAACAUCCGACGUGACCCUGUUAGCUCAUGUUUGGUAAGAUAUUGUUAGCUCAUGUUUGGUAAGAUAUUGCAUUAGAAAGAGAAGGGCACAUCAUGCUAAGAAGAUUUAUGAAUAACUAGUACCUUGUUGAGCGCAGGAACUUUACCAAACAUGCCCUUGUGUUGCGUACUGGGUGGGUUCAACGCGACCGAGUUCAACCGAAAGCACAGACCGCUCGUUCCUUCCCUAGCUAUUGUAGGCUCCUCCCCGCCGAACACGCCUCCCUCUCCCUCCAUGCAGAUCAAGGCAUCCUUCCACCGCAGCUGUGCCCCUUGCCCUUCCCUGGUCGUCCUCGUCCGCUCUAGACUGGCGUGGAGUGGAGAUCCGUAGGAAUUCCAAUUGAUUUCUUCUCUUGCUGGUAAGCGAGACGGGCUUUUGCUUCGGUUGGGUUGCGCAUUUUGUUGUACGCCUACGAAUUCGAAUCUUCCAUUUUGCCCGGAAUGGAUUAAUGUGUUGGGUGGUCGAGUAUUUCAUCGAUUCAUUCCGCUUCAUUUUUUAUUUGUUUAUUGCAUCAGCGCUCAAUUGUUAAUCUGUUGUCUUGGAAAUAUCAAACCAUUUUAAUAAUGUUUCAGAAAAAAAAUGGUACGCAGCAUUGGGUGGAUAGGAGAUCUAUCUGUGCAUGGGUUGAUUGCAUAUAAGAACGUAUGUGUUACGGUGGAUCGGACUGCAAAUUCCUUAUUGUUAUUCAAUGUAUAAUUUUCUCUGAUAUCAUUGAAAACGACGUUUCAUGUCAAUUUGUUCUGAAUAACUUCUUGUGAUGCCGAGGUCCCAAUGUUUAUGUGCAGUUGCAGGUGAUCGAGAUUCAAUACCUGAAAAUAGGAUGUUGACAUGUUACUGUUUAGAUGACACCCGAUGAUAAUGUGAGUUCCUAAAUGCCGCCCUUUUAUUCUAUUUUGACUGAGCACGUGCUUAUGCGCUAAACAAUUGGAAAUAGUAACACAUACACAUUUUCUAUGUCCCGAAGGCCCUUAUAACUCUCAAAAAAGGCAGCAAGCUUAUCAAGUAUAGCCGGAAGGGAAAACCAAAGAUUCGUGAGUUCAGACUUUCUAGUGUAAGUUCUUACAUGCACUAGUGUAAUACCAAUCUUAACUUCUCAAGUAUCUCUUUGCAAUAAAGAAACAACAUAACAUCCCUCGAUGAUUUUGCAUUACAGGAUGAAACAACACUAGUUUGGUACUCCCACAGCAAAGAGAAGUACCUUGUACUGUCUUCUGUCUCUAGAAUCAUUCCUGGACAGAGAACUGUAAGCCAAAACACCACUUUACAGUUACCACUGAGUUAGAUGGUUGCUUUGCUGAUACAGUCACAAUCACAGUUUUUAAUGAUAGAAAGUUUAUUAAGGCAUAGGGAUUGACAUAAAUGAAUUCAUCUUUUUUUUUUCGCUAGGCUGUUUUUAGGAGGUUUUUACACCCUGAGAAGGACUACCUAUCAUUUUCUCUGAUAUACAAGAAAGGUCAACGUUCCCUUGACCUGGUAAGAUGUAGAUGUUUUGUACUCCUUUUUUCUAAUGAACUAGUGGUAAAAGUUUUGUGUUUAAAGAAAGAGGCCAUCCACUUGAGCUCAAACCCGAGGGCUCCCAAAAUGUGGGUACCUCCAUGAGAACUAAAUUCAAGUUUCAUGAGUUUUUUGGCCAACCAGAGUCUGGUACCCCCCUAUUUAAGACAAAACCAGGGGAUGUCAUUUCCCCGUGGUCAAGUUCUUUGGGUAUAUCUAAUACUAUGAUCUGUGGAAGACAUUAGUUACAUGAGAUUCUAGCUGAUCUACAGGGGAUGUCAUUUCCCCGUGGUCAAGUUCUUUGGGUAUAUCUAAUACUAUGAUCUGUGGAAGACAUUAGUUACAUGAGAUUCUAGCUGAUCUACAGGUUUGCAAGGAUCAAGCUGAAGUUGAAGUCUGGUUUUCAACACUUGAGACACUUAUUACUUCUACUUCAGGCCGUAAAAGUUGUUCGACUGAUGGUCCAAGUGAUAGGCUUUCAGUUUCUGAUGUGAGUUGAUAUUCUUGAAUAGCUGGUCACAUUGUUUACACUGAAAUCGAAUAUGUUACAAUUUCUUUCUGUGAGUUCUAGUUUAAGUAUUUGAGAUUGGAUUCAGAUUUCAUCAGUACAUUUGUUGGGCCUUGGUUGGGAAAUCUAAGUUUUGUUUUGAAGUCAAGUUCUAUGAAAAGCCAGAAGUAAUAUGCCUGAGAAGCUGCAUUUAUAUUAUACUGUGAUGCGCACAUAAAUCAUGACAUCUUAUCCUUCUUGAUUGUACAAGGUUAUAAUUGUUAUCUAGAAGAGACUAUAACUUAAUCGUGGAUGUGAUUUAUGGCUUUGACCGACAAACGAAGCAUGGAGGCACCAUUUAGUUCUUAUUUGUGCUGUGUAUUAGCUAGCAUCUAAUAAACUACCGCUACUUAGUUAUAGUUUAUCCACUUAAGAUUUCUUGUUUCAGUUAGUCUCUGCCUUACCUUUGGUCAAAUGUUGCAGAAUUUUCGAACUAAAUGUUUCUUUCCUUUUCCUUUUCAGGAAGUAUCACACUAUCAAGAUAACAAUUUUCAUGAUACGACACUAGAUAUUGCCUCAAGUAUUACACGCACUUUUAACUCAGGUGCUUACAGCGCAACCAAUUCUCUCAGUUCAGCAAAAGCAGAUGUUGGAUCGGAUCGUGCAAAUAUGCUAAGAGCAAGUACAGACGGUGGUCGGGUUAGCAUUUCCAGCAGCGUUCCUAGUUCUUCAAGUCAAGGUUCUGGACAAGAUGACAUUGAAUCCCUUGGUGAUGUUUAUGUGUGGGGUGAGGUCUGGACUGACGUGAUCCCGGCAGAAGGAUCUUCAAACUAUUUGUGCUCCAAAGCAGACAUUUUAAUUCCCAAACCGCUGGAAUCAGAUGUUGUUUUGGACGUACAGCAGAUAGCCUGUGGUUCCAGGCACAUUGCUCUUACUACUAGGCAAGGAGAAGUAUUCGCAUGGGGUGAAGAACUUGGAGGGCGGCUUGGUCAUGGGACUGAUGCAGAUAUUAGCCGUCCUAAACUUAUUGAAGCCUUAGCAGUGUCAAAUGUAGAAUAUAUUGCGUGUGGGGAGUUCCAUACUUGUGCUGUAACUUCCUCUGGUGAUUUGUAUACUUGGGGUGAUGGAUACUACAAUGCUGGAUUGCUUGGACAUGGUGCUGGAACUAGCCACUGGCUUCCAAAACAAGUCUCAGGACCUUUAGAAGGGGUUCAGAUACUGUCUGUUGCAUGUGGCUCAUGGCAUUCAGCACUGACCACGUCAAGUGGGAAAAUUUUCACUUUUGGCGAUGGGACAUUUGGAGCUCUUGGACAUGGAAAUCAUGAAAGCGUUGCAUACCCAAAGGAAGUUGAAACUUUGAGUGGAUUCAGAACAAUGAAAGUAGGCUGUGGACUCUGGCAUUCUGCAGCUAUUGUGGAGACCAGUAAUCAGGCAGGCGUGAAUGUGGUGUCCAGGAAGCUAUAUACCUGGGGUGCUGGAGACAAGAAUCUCCUAGGUCAUGGGGAUAAAGAUGCUAGGCUAGUUCCUACAUGUGUUCAAUCUCUCAUUGAUUAUAACUUCCAUCAGGUGGCCUGUGGACACAGUAUGACCAUCGCCCUCGCUACAUCUGGUCAUGUUUUCACAAUGGGGAGCUCUAGCAAUGGUCAGCUUGGGAAUCCAAAGUCUGAUGGUAAACAACCUAGCCUGGUACAAGAUAGGUUGGCAGGCGAAUUGGUUGAAGAGAUCGCCUGUGGCUCAUGCCAUGUUGCAGUCUUGACUUCACGAAGUGAAGUAUAUACAUGGGGGAUGGGAGCCAAUGGUAGGCUGGGGCACGGUGGUGUGGAAGAUAAGAAAAAACCAACCCUUGUGGAAGCAUUAAAAGAUCGUCAUGUUAAAAGUAUCGCAUGUGGUUCGAAUUUCACUACCUGCAUUUGUAUACAUAAGUGGGUUUCAGGUGCAGAUCAGUCUGUCUGCUCAGGUUGUAGGCAACCAUUUGGCUUCACAAGAAAGAGACACAAUUGUUACAAUUGUGGUCUUGUCCAUUGCCAUGCAUGUAGUUCAAGAAAAGUACUGAAAGCUGCUCUGGCACCAACUCCCGGCAAACCACAUCGUGUAUGCGAUUCAUGCUUCAUGAAACUGAAAACUGCAGAGACCAGCAGCAACAGUUCAUAUCACAAAAGGAAUGUCAAUGCUCGUCGCUCCGUUGAUAGCAAAGACAAGUCAGAGAGGCCAGAGAUAAGGCCUUCCAGGCUUGCAACAGGAUCACCAGCAGAACCACUCAAGCAAGCUGAGAUAAAAGCAGUUCGAAAUGAGAUAAAACCAGAUCCGAUGUCCAUGAUGAAGGCAGGCCAAGUUCCUUCCAUGUUACCUUUUAACAAUCUCGCUUUUGGUGGAACGUUUGGCCCAAGUCUAAAGCCUAUGGCAAUGGCAGCUGCAAUGCCAAUGGCCAUGCCUAUGUCACCGUCUCCUCUCAUGAAGAAGGCAAAUCCACCUGCAGCAGCUCCUCUCUGUGGUAAAAGUGACACUGAUAACUUGAAGAGGACUAAAGAUGGGCUGAAUGAAGAUAUAUCAAAGUUGCAGUCUCAGGUAUGAUUAAGAAUACUGUAUAUUCUUGCUACUAUAAUUUUGUUUAGCUGACACUGAUAAACUUAUUGAACUUUUAACAGGUAAACAAAUUGAAACAAAAAUGCGAUGCCCAAGAGGAACAGCUGCAGAAAUCGGAAAGAAAAGCUGAAAAUUCUUCCUCUAUAGCUGCAGAAGAGUCUUCGAGGUGUAAUAGUGUCUUGGAGUUCAUUAGGUUUCUUGACAAUGAGGUACAGUAUUAAACUAGUUCUGCAAGAUACAUACACAGCUCUUGAGCUUUCACGAUGAAAUUUUAAGUGCUUACCAUGAUGCGUACUUGAGACCCAAUAAUCUACCAUUUUACAGUACCAUGACUUCUAUAAUCCAAAUCAAAUACAAAUAGGGGUGUGCUUCAAUAAUGUUGUGAAUGAAACAAGCAUAAUGUUAAAAGCAUUUAUUGUUACCUUGGAACAUAGAAUAACCUGAGUUGAUAUAACCUUUGUCCUUUCUGGUCUGUGUACGUUUUCUUUCUUAAACAAAUGACAUGCAGCUCUCCUAAGCUUUGUAGUAGCUCAUAGAAUAAAGGUUUUUUCACUGUACGUCUGUACGUGUUUGCUGGAUCUGUCUUGGAUGAUGCUCACUGUAUCACGUCCAUUCAUUCUUCAGCUCAAGAGUAUCGCAGAUAAGGUGCCCGGUGAUACUGCUGACAGCUUAAAAGCCUUGCAAAGUCAAUCAGAGAGAUUUCUUACAGGGCAAGGUAUUCAUCCACUGGAAGUCACAGGUGCCAGUGGACGUGCACAUGCUACAGCGCAUCAGAGGUCAGCAAGCAUGGGAAAUCUGAUGUUGUCUCAGGAUGGAAGCAGUGGAACUGCCAGUAGCUCGGCCACUUCCUUGACGAGUGAAUCUCCAUGCCACCGUAUCAUGGAAAACAGCACGAAAGCUAAUGGCGACUUUGCGCCAAAGCUCGGUACUCACGGAGAAGUGCAACUGAUUGAGCAGUUUGAACCAGGGGUGUAUGUGACACUCAUCCAGCUGAGAGAUGGUACCAAAGUUUUCAAGCGUGUCAGAUUCAGGUAACCUAGCUACCACAGGCCCUCUUCCUGAAUACAGCAUUGAUUUCUGAACCUUAUCAGUACCAAUCACUUUCGUAGUACAUCCAAAACACCAUAAAUUUCACUUUAUGUCGAGAUAAAAUUUGUUUCCAGGAGCUGAUCAUUUACUCUCUUUGUUUUUUUCCCCACGACCAGCAAGAGGAGAUUUGCGGAGCAGCAGGCCGAGGAAUGGUGGAGGGAGAACCAGGAGAGAGUCUUCAGGAAAUACAACCAUCCGUCUAACUAAGUUCAUCAGAAACCGUCAUAGAACACAACAUCCCAGCAUUGUGAGGAAAAAAAGUAGGAUCAUCCACCCUUCUGAGCUUAGUUGCAGACGAGGUAUUGGGCGGGAGAGGCAUUGGACAAUGGCGCUCCGAUCGGUGCUUGAAGGAAGUCCAAUCUCUUGCGGCUGUGUUCUGGUGUUAUAGAUUACUGGAUUUAGAUUGCGAACUGGGAAGAUGCAAGACAUAAGUCUUCAUCAUCCCUUUUGCGCUUGCUUUACUGAACAUGGCAGCUGGCAGUUCGUGGUGUCUUUCCUGACAAAGCGACAGACAGUAGCUUGUUGUGAAACCUUUCUUCACACCUCGCAUAACCUUUUGUUUCAGGAUUUUGAUAUCCAUUCAUCCUUUUGUUUUUCCCCCCUUGAGGUUACAAUGCCGAACCUUGUAUGAAGAAAGUAGAUUCUUUUUUUUUCAUUUGGCUGAAAAGAAAGACAUGCUCUCGAGUGAGGUAAAGGUAAGCGAGCUUAUAAUGUUUCAGGUGAUCAUGUUACAUGUAUCCUUCAAGAAAAUGCAUGCAUGCUUUAUUUGGCCUAGCAGAUCGGCCUGCCGGCGGCGAAAGAUCCUCAUGCACCUCUACUGCGGCUCCGCCCCGUGCCCGCGCCAGGCAUGUCUGCAAGCUGGGCCUCACGGUUGGUUCCAGAACCCGGCGCACCCUCCUUCCUACCUGCGGGCCACACGGCAACAGCAAUCCCGCAGCCUCCUCCGCUCAUGCGCGCGCCGGCCGGCCAAUGCAACGACAGCCAGUCAGCCAUCGAGGCAGCCGAGCUCCACCGCGGACACAGCGAGCCGCCGGCGAGGCAGCUAGCAGCGCCUUCCGGCACCCAACUGAUCCACGCCGCUCGUGCGCCUCGUCGGGUACAGCGCUAUCCUCAUAAGCAUUUGACCUGCACUUAUAUUAGCCGAUUUGAACAGACGUGCGGCAAGCACGGGUCAAGCAAAAACCCCUCAUGAUAUCUAUCCCUCAGCUUUGACCAUUACUAAUCCAUUAAACAUCCGUGCGGCAAGCACGGGUCAAGCGCAAACCCCUCAAGGUAAACAGGCUGUGAUGAUGAUGAUUCUCCAACCGGCAACCUCGUAGGCGGCGCCAUCCUGCAGCUGGUACGUACAGCGCUUGGUGUAUAUUAUCCUCAACUGUGAUGUGGAUGAACCACACUACGAUAAAAUAUAUAUGCUAACCGAUGAACAGGGCAUUUCAUUGCAGGUGGCAGCCUUUUUUUGGGUGCUGCCAAUACUUCUUUGCAACAUAUGGGGGCAGUCUUUUUGGUGGUUCCAUUUUUUAAUAAAAAAUAUAGACAGAAAAGAUUUGGACACUGCUUGUACCAAUCAAGCAGAUCUUUUUUCUUUUGCUAUUAUUACUGAACCUGAUUAAUUUUAACGCAUGCAAUUUAUUUGAAAUCUUUUGCCAACCGGUUUUAUAUGACACAGGCAAUUGUUAUUUAUACGUACGCGUCUUUCUUCGAUCCUGCAAAUUUCAUUGUAGACACCAGAUUAGAGAUGUAUAAUGCCAAGGUGUGUUCUUUGGUGCAGCCGAUGGACUGAAACUAGGUGCCUUCUCAUUUUGGUGCUAAUUGCAAUCGAGUUACUCCGAAAAUCUUCUUGUUCCUUAACCUCAACUUAAAAGAUCCAUUAGUUAGGUUCACGUCAAUGCGGGAUAUCGAUCGAUCGGAUCAUCAUCAGACUACAACCGGGAUCAGAAAGUUGGCUGGAUAUAUAGCUGCCUACUUCGACGGUCGGAGUAGGAAGUUGAUCGAGCGGAUGAUUGUCCUUUUUGACGGGCUUAGCAAUUGCAACCUGUCCAAUUACUGAACACUUGCCGAAUGGUCCUCGCCGUGGAAAGGUGAUGAGCGGUCUCCAGGUUCUGGUAACAGAGCUGACAAAAACAUGCAUUCGGCCAUUCACGGAGUUGUAAACCUGUCUUAUGCCCAACACUCGGGUGCUUGGAUUUAGUAUGACGAAUGAACGUGACCGUCUCGUGACCAAAGGAAGAAACUUUUUAUCGUACGCAAACUUUGCCGUGUAGCAGGGGCGGAUCCAGAACGGGGCUGCGCCCCGGGCUGAGCUGUUGAAUCACACCUAAAAUAGUCUAAUUUUGUCUCCUAAGCCUCAUUUUGUUAGGCUAAACAGCACAUAGGUUAAAGGGACUCCAUGGUCUCGCCCCGAGCUGCAGCCCGAGCAGCCCGGGCCCUGGAUCCGCCCCUGCCGUGUAGUUGCCUGAAACCUUUUGUGUCCAGAGUAUUUCAUCACCAGCUGUGUUUGCUGGGUUAAAAGCCAACCUCCUCGAUAAGCGCCCAUAACUGAACAUAUUCCGACAAUAGCUCAACUGUAAGGUCGUGCAUGAGGUCUCGGAUCCAUUGGUCCUCCUGCAGGGCCUCUUCCACAGUUCGAUUUUUCCUCUUGCUGUGCUUGAACAGGUUAGGGAAGAGGGCCUCUGGGGAAGUGCCUUUGAAGCUUCGAUCCAGAUUGAUGUCCAGAACUCUGCUAUGUGGCCAUUGUUGACAUUGACCUUUGUGGCUGCAGUAAAGAGUGCAAUGUCUUUCUCAUCAACCAGCAGCUCCAUCCACCCAUGGUCGGCUCGGGCACACGGCUCAAAAAAGGAAUCUAAAUCUGUAAUGCCAAGACCACCGCCAUAUAGAUGCUGGUUACCGGCCCAAAAAAAAAAACGGUCCACGUGCCUUGUCAAAAUCUAUCAUAAACUUCUUGAGAACUGCUUCAGCACUCCUCUUUUAGUUUUUUGGCACGAAUUUUAAAGCGUACCACCAAUUAGUUAACUAUUUUCUUAAUUACCUCUCGUCUGGGUCUCGAAUGGGCCCGGUCCUACCCUUGCCCAGCUCAUACCCGCCCGUCCCAUGAUCCAUCCCCGUCAUUUCAUUUAGGAUUUGAAUAUUCCGUUCGUUCUGUGUGUACCGAAUUGUAAUACAAAUUGGAGGAAAAUGUGCAUAGCUUAGUUGGUGUCCAUCCCCACCAUGUAGCUAGAUUUGAGUCCUUAACUCGAAAUCAGGUAGCCAUCAUGCAAAUUUGUUAAUAAAUUAAUUUAUGUUACUUUUUGUGUUUUACAGAUAAAGUCUUUCACAAGUGAUGUCCUGAAAUUUCACCGGUCCCGCACUAGUCGCCAAGUGCAGCAUCCUUAAUUCCUUACCCUGCUAUUUCGUUCUAGCUGACGCUCCUGAUGCGCGCGCCGGCCAACGACGACCGCCGAGGCAGCCAAAGCGCACGCGGACGCACAAGCGCGGCGAAGGAUGGCCGCGUCCCGGCGCCCAACUCCACGCGCACGCGCGCCGUCGCCGCGUCGCGUGCGGCGUGCCCGUGCUUCGAAUUCGACUGCAACCGCGCGCCGCUCGCACCACCCUAUCGAGAGCCCGCGACGCGACGCUCCAAUGGACGCCGCCGCGGCGCCGCUCGUGCGCCUCGUCGAUCGGCCGGGGCAUCGCGGGCGCGGGACAAUGGCCGCGGUGGGAGAGGCACCGAGCCCCGCGCGAUGUCGCUGAUACGUGUUGGUUUAGUCCCACAUCGGCCGCGCGGGAGGGGUUACCGUGAGACAAAAAGCGCGAUCCGGAGGCGUCUACCACGUAGUUAGCAAAUCUCAUAAGUAUUCUGAACGAUCUCCGAGUCCAAGCAAUCAGGUACAGCGCUGCACUCCGAUCUCUUUCAUCCAAGCUCUGGCUUGAUGGAUACUAUCCCAGUAAACAGCCGUGCGGCAAGCACGAUACUAGCAAAAUCUCAUGGCAUAAAAAGCAGGCGGCUGAUGGAUGCUCCAACCGCGGCAGCCUUUUUGUGCUGCCAAUUCUUUUUUUUUCAGUAAUUUUUGUUGAAGGCUGCUUGCAAAUUUGAUUUUUUUUUAAAACUAGGGGGCGUUUAGUUCCAGUUGCUUAUUAGCACCUGUCACAUCGAAUAUUUAGAUACUAAUUAGGAUAUACGUAGACUAUUUACAAAACCAAUUACACAGAUAGAGGCUAAACGGCGAGACAAAUCUAUUAAACCUAAUUAGUCCAUGAUUUGACAACGUGCUGCUACAGUAAACAUUUGCUAAUGAUGGAUUAAUUAGGCUUAAUAGAUUCGUCUUGUCAUUUAGCCUCCAUCUGUGCAAUUAGUUUUAUAAUUAAUUCAUAUUUAGUCCUCAUAAUUAGCCUCUGAAUAUUCGAUGUGACACAAACUAAACUUUAACUUGAGGAACAAACGCUCGCGUGUGUGUUCGAGGAACAAACGCUCGCGUGUGUGUUGCUUGAUGCAACCGACGGAUCGAAGGGGGUGUUUGGAUACAGGGUGCUAAACUUUAGGAGUGUCACAUCGGAUGUUCGGAUGCUAAUUAGAAGGACUAAACAUGAGCUAAUUAUAAAACUAAUUGCAGAACCCCUACACUAAUUUGCGAGACGAAUCUAUUGAGUCUAAUUAAUCCAUCAUUAGCACAUAUUUACUGUAGCAGCACAUUGUCAAAUCAUGGACUAAUUAGGCUUAAUGGAUUCGUCUCGCGAAUUAGACUCCAUCUGUGCAAUGAGUUUUAUAAAUAGUCUAUGUUUAAUACUCUUAAUUAGUAUCUAAACAUCCGAUGUGACGGGUACUUGAACUUUAGGAGGUGUAUCAAACACCCCCGAAUACACACCUAUAGCCCUGAACGCACGAAGCAGACCGUGGGUAGCACAAGAGCGCACACAGCUCGUUUACGACAAUUAUUGUCAGCACGCAAUCAUUUGUGAGAACAUGCAAGAUUACAGCUUAUGCUAGCAAGUGCUAGAUACCUGACAGGGUAGAGCAUACAAAACACCUUCACCUGAUAUAUCGUCCUGUUUCAACAGGCACGAAACAAGAAAUGCCUAGGCGAGGCCAGCUAGCAAACAAGCCAAACACGCCCAAAGACGCCGGACGGCACGCC